GAAGUACAAGAGUGUUGUACACCGUGUGAUGACGAUGAAGCAAGGAAGUAGACUGUCGAUAGCUACAUUUUACAAUCCAGCUGGGGAUGCCAUAAUAUCUCCAGCUCAAGAGAUGUUGUACCCAAGUGGUUACCGAUUCCAAGACUACCUUAAGCUUUAUUCAACCACUAAGUUUGGAGACAAAGGCUCUAGAUUUAAUACCAUGAAGAAAAUGGAGAAUGGGGAUUCCGUCUAGGAUGCAUCGCCUGAACGUAACGCUGCUUUUGUAUUUCACAUGAAACUCUAUUUCUAUUAAAACUUUGUCUUCUUGUUGUGUUUCUUUCAUAAAGGAAUAACAAUUAUGCCAGGAUCAUGCUGAUUCAACUAUUUUGCUUUGUUAAGAAAAAAUAACUCUUUUUACUCAAGUGAUUUUGUACUAGGCAAGUCGUUGAUGGCAACUUUAAAAACAUUAGUUUGAACUUUGAAGGUCUUUUAUAUUGUACUUUUAUUUUUAAGGAUGUCCUUAAGAUAUUAGUAUGUUUUGGCUAAAAAGUUAUAUAUCGUUUAAUUCUGUUUAUCUUUUAAAACAACAAAAACACAAAAGAUAUUUCAUGUUAAGCGAUAAUUCAAUAUGAUUAAGAGAAUGAUAACCUAGUUAGUAAUUAGUAAUUACCAACAUCCGUAUGGUCAUAAAAGAGAACCCAAGAUAAUGAAAAAAAAAUGUCAAACCAUAAAACUUGGACAAUGGUGAAACAAAAACAGUCUUUUUAUUUAAGUUUUCGUAGGAUCAAACUCCCACGGCUGCUUCUUGUAAUAGCAGACCACAAACUAAACCAAGUGGUCUUAUUUGUAGCAACUUCUUUUUCUUCACCUUUUAACUUGGCAUGUAACUGAGCAAAUUCCAGCAAAUUUUUUUUUUUUUUUUGCUUGUACUAAAUAGCUUAAUUUUGGUGAAGAAACCAGCAAAUUUUCAUUUUAUUUUAAUAAAUAAAUGAUAUCUCAUUCAACUUUAAUGUUACUGAAUGAUACAUGGAGAUAAUAAAUAAUACUCCAAGUAAAGAUUUUUUUAGAUUUUUUUCUUGUUCCACAAAGAUAGAUUUUCUAUAUUGUUAAGGUAUUUUUUUAUACUUUUGAAAAACAUUAAUUGAGAAUAUUUGAAUUAAUUAAAUUUCAUUGGUGGAAAGUUAUUGAAAAGUGUAUAAUAAAGUAAAAGAUAAAUUAAAUUAUAAAUAUUUAUUAAAUUAUUAAUAAGCGUCCAUACUCUAAAAAAUCUUACUUUUGCGAACAGAGAGAGUAUUCUUUUGAUGGUACUACGGAUGCUACAACUUUAAGAUAGUGCUGUUGAUCAUCUGGACUAAAUAGGUUGACAAAGAGGAAUCCCAAGCCCUUAAUCUUGAACUGUACAUAGAGUGGUAGAUUACUAACUUAGGCUUCGAAUGUUACGAACUGCCUCGCCCCGCAGUUAACAGUAACAAAAAUCUCUACAUAUACUAUAUAUCUAUACGUUUUUAUAACUGUUAAAACCGCACCGCAAUUAAUGUAUGUAGCGGCUAGAGGCUUGUUCAAAAUGAAUCCUCCAAUGAUUAUAGUGCCUAAAUCCAUUGAGGAAGGCAUCGAGACUUUGCUCGAGGUUCCUAGAGCUAAGGCACAAUCCUGUUAGCUUGGACAUAGGAGGACAACCUCUAGCAUCCAACUACCCAUUGCCGCCCAAGGUUUGUGGUUUUUUUUUGUGUGUGUUGUUUGGUGGCAUAGUGAUACAGUAGCUUCAUCAGGUGUCAGUAGAACCAUGAGGAGAAUUCUUUCAGUGGAGUUGGCUUUUGAACCAAAGAUUGUAUAUGUGAGAAAAACAUCUAAAGUUAAAAUGUGUCAAAGGUUACGACAUCCUCAUUCAAAUAGCUAAUGAUAACAUUGGUUUGUCAGUGUUGGUUCUUCUCGGUAGAUAUAUGCUUAAGUUCCGUUUCUUAGGUCAGCAAAAUGGUGCAACGACAUCUGACAUGAGGGAAUAAGUAGGUGGGGGAUCUCACGAUAUCUAAAAAUCAUUAUUUUGCAUUUUUUUCUGAGAGCAUUCUGAUUAGCUACACCGUGUGUUAUCCUUAGGCUAUGCUCUAUUAUUGUCUUGGUGCGUCACAUUCUCAACUUGUAAACUAGAGUGUUCAUAUUUUUGUUCUAGGGUGGAUUGUCAAUGUAUGUAGCGGCUAAAAUUUUCUAAUCUUUUAUAUAGUUUCCUUGUAAAAGGUAUCUUAUUGCUUGGUCAAAGACUGCUGGCAUUAUGAUACCAGUUAGAUUCAUCAGGUGUCAGCAGAAAUAUGAGGAGCAUCCUUUCAUUAGAGUUGGCUUUUGAACCAAAUAUUGUUUAUAUGAGAAAAAUCAUAUAUUACCAAGGGGUAUAGGAGUCCAGCAUCCAAAAGCUAGAUUGUGUUAGGUUAUAGUGUCCUCAUUCAAAAUUGUGUUGGUUCUUAUCGGUAAUCAUAUGCUUAAGUUUCGGUUUUCAGGUCAGCGAAUAAUGCAACAUCAUCUGACAUUAAGGAGUAAGAAGGUGGGCUCGUAAGAUAUCUAAAAAAGGUUUCUCUUAACAACCUCAGUAUUCUCUGAAGAUUGUGGGCUUAAUCCACUUCAAGAUUCUGCAAACGAGACUGCUUCUUCCAUGAGGCAAGUGUCUAUUGUUUUCUCUGAUAUGUCGUCACUCUUUUGUCAUCAUUGAGGUUUAGGCCCUUGACAGAGGCAAAGAGGCAAGAGAAGGAGGACGUUAAGAUCUUCUUAAGUCGUUGGUCUUAUUUUCCAUCCACUAAUGGCUUUUUUAUGGGUUGUUGGUCGUUAAUUCCAAUCAAACAAGUCUUAAACCUCCUACAUUUUCUUUGUCUCUGUCCAGACAUUAGUAACCGUGGGUAAUGAAUCUGUUUUCAGUUAUAGUCCUUGUCUUAAGACUUUCUCAAACCAUAACCAUUCAAAUAACUGAAAACAAAUUCUCUCAAGCCGUGGAUACUAAAUCUUUGUAAGCCGUGGGUAAGGAAUCUGUUUUCAGUUAUAGUCCCUGUCUUAAGACUUUCUCAAACUGUACCAUUCAAAUAACUAAAAACAGAAAAGUCUUGUCUUUAAGACUUGUAAGCCGUGGGUAAUAAAUCUUUGUCUUUGUCAAGACAUGUGUAAGCCUUGAGUAAGGAAUCUAUUUUCAGUUAUAGUCUUUGUCAAAGACUGAGCGGCAUGCUCUUAUUUGCCAUCCCCUAACGCCCUUCUUUAUACAUGCACCACCAACCCAUAUUCUCGGUCCAUUUAACAAUCUUGCUAUAGGAAAUGGUAUAAGUUUCUUUCAGAGGAAGCAAGGGACAGUGUUUUCAGUUAUAGUCCUUGUCUUAGGACUUUCUCAAACUGUACCAUUCAAAUAACUGAAAAAAAAAGUCUUUGGCCUUUAAGACUUGUAAGCCGUGGAUCAUAAAUCUUUAUCUUUGUCAAGACAUGUGUAAGCCGUGGGUAAUAAAUCUUUGUAAGCCAUGGGUAAGGAAUCUGUUUUCAGUUAUAGUCUUUGUCUUAAGACUUUCACAAACUGUACCAUUCAAAUAAUUGAAAACAAAAAAGUCUUUUGUCUUUAAGACUUGUAAGCCGUGAGUAAUAAAUCUGUCUUUCUCAAGACAUGUGUAAGGCGUGGGUAAGGAAUCUGUUUUCAGUUAUAGUCUUUGUCAAAGACUGAGCGGCAUGCUCUUAUUUGCCAUCCCCUUACGCCCUUCUUUAUACAUGCACCACCAACCCAUAUUCUCGGUCCAUUUAAUAAUCUUGCUAUAGGGGAUGGCAUAAAGUUCUUUUAGAGGCAGCAAGGGACAAUGUUUUCAGUUAUAGUCCUUGUCUUAGGACUUUCUCAAACUGUACCAUUCAAAUAACUGAAAACAGAAAAGUCUUUGGUCUUUAAGACUUGUAAGCCGUGAGUAAUAAAUCUUUGUCUUUGUCAAGACAUGUGUACGCCGUGGGUAAAAAUCUUUGUAAGUCGUGGGUAAGGAAUCUGUUUUCAGUUAUAGUCUUUUGUCUUAAGACUGAGCCGCAUGCUCUUAUUUGCCAUCCCCUAACGCCCUUCUCUAUACAUUCACCACCAACCCAUAUUCUCGAUCCAUUAGGGGAUGGCUUAAGUUUCUUUUAGAGGCAGCAAGGGACAAUGUUUUCAGUUAUAGUCCUUGUCUUAGGACUUUCUCAAACUGUACCGUUCAUAUAACUGAAAACAGAAAAAUCUUUGGUCUUUAAGACUUGUAAGCCGUGGGUAAUAAAUCUUUGUCUUUGUCUAAGACAUGUGUAAGCCGAGGGUAAUAAAUCUUUGUAAGCCGUGGGUAAGGAAUCUGUUUUCAGUUAUAGUCUUUUGUCUUAAGACUGAGCCGCAUGCUCUUAUUUGCCAUCCCCUAACGCCCUUCUCUAUACAUGCACCACCAACCCAUAUUCUCGAUCCUUUAGGGGAUGGCAUAAGUUUCUUUUAGAAGCAGCAAGGGACAUUGUAUUCAGUUAUAGUCCUUGUGAUAACCCGUCCUUCGGGAUAAAAUGGUCGAGCAAGGGAAAGUCAGAAUCUGGAGCCAAGCUUUUGGGAGAUUACAUAUUUGGAGUAAUGUUGAGUUUUGAUCACACAAAACUUAACAAGGUUCGGAGAAGACAGAAGAUUGGUCGAGCAUCAACUUGAUGAUCGAACCGCGGGCGGUACGGGCCAACCGAGAAGUUCGAAGUAGGAUGUGGUCGAAGAAUGGAUCGUGAGUGAACCAUGAGACAUAUUAAGCUGCUCUACCUUUCUUAGAAGAGUCUUAGAUUGAUCAGACGAAGAUUUUGGAAGAAUCACAUUUUUGGAAGCACGACGGUUUAGAAGCUCGACGUUUCAGAAACCCGACGUUUCUUAGCCACUAAGUUUUCCGCGAAACUUCACAUCUAUGAUCAGAAUAUUAUUUCAGAGAUAUUAUAAUUUGGAAGCAUGACGGGAGUAAGCAGGACGGGAAGCAAGCACGACGGGAAAACCCGAAGUUGGUCGAAAACCCUAAUUUCGGUUUUUCGAAAUUAUUGGAAGAAGCCGGAGGCUCGGGAAAUAUUUUUAGAGGAUCUCAGUAUUCAUCUGGAGUUUAUUAAAAAUAUUUAGAGAAUCAGAACGGGAGCGGAAAAAUAUUCGGGAUUGAUCGCGGGACGAAAAUUUACCAGAAAGACCGAAAUCGCACAAAUCAACCGGGAAGCUCGAGGUGGCCCUAUCUGAGAGAUCAGGACGUGCUGUCCUUCAUCCAAGCAUCUUAGUGUCUCCGUAGCACGAUAUGUCUCCGCAGGAUGAAGCCUCACAUGCAGCAUGACACCCAAAGCACGACAUGACCUCGUCUUGACACCCAGAGGCCCGUGUGUCGCGAUGCAUGAGCUCCAGCCAUGCUGAAUGACAUCUGGACGUGGUGCUGGCUUCUGGCAUGCAGAGGAGUCAUGCAUGGUGACAUUUGGACGCCCGUGUGUCGCCGCGCAUGCGACCGGAAGCAUGCGGGACGACACACAGGCGAUGGAGUGGCACCAUUUCAAUGGUUGGCCAUAUCUAUAUAAACCCAGCUCCCCCAGCUCGUUUCAUUCAUUCCACACACUCAAACAUCACUCUAAAACUUGGGCUAGAGAGAGAAAGUGAAGUAGAAAAAGGAAGUGAAGGAUUUGGAGCUGUUUUGAAGAAGUUAGAGCAUUUUUAAGAGCCAUUGUUCUACCGAAAGUCCGAGAAGAAGAUCCAGAAGUCCGAGGAGGUUCUGUCCAAGUCCUGAUUCGUCCAUACCAGUCCAUUGAAGACAGAGGCAUUGGUUUUUGGCUAGGCUUUCUCCGAUCAACCAGCUGCAAGAACACUGUGAGUUGGUUUGUUUGAGUUCCACUUGGAACUUAGGAUAGAUCGAGUUGCAUAUAGAGUAAUAAUAUCACACUGAUGCAUGAUAGAGUCCUAGGGUUAUUUUUAUUUAUGAAUUGGACUCAGUUUAGCAUGGGCUAAGCUGAGAUAUAAUGGAAUUAAGACUGAGUUAUAACCUGACUAGGACUAGGAUGAAUGAUGCAUCAACCGGUAUAGUGUGAUAAAUUAUGGCGUAGCUGAAUUGUUAGGAUUGAGAUGCAUGUUUUCCUUUAUUUAUUUAUGGGUAGUUUAGUAAUGGAGUAGACCUGCCUUAGAGAUAUUAGGACUAUUGAAUGCUUGGUUUGGUAGUGAUUGUUGUUGUGCAGGGAUGGUAUUGUUCAGGCGAUCUUAGGCCAUAUAGGCCGAUUUCCUUCCAUGUCGAGUUUAGUACUACCAAUCCUAUGCCAUAUAGGCUGGACUACGAGUACUGGUGUUAGUGUCGUAGACUCCUUAGUGUAUUUAAGUUUGUGGUAGGAGUCUUGGUCUUAUUAGGAUUAGUGUGUUGUAGCCGACAGUAUGAGCGUAACCCGUCCAUACUAGGCUUGUUUAGGGGUGAUUAGUGUUUCCUCAGCCUCGUACCCAGCGGGUUUAAGGAAACCCCUUAUUCGUUGGAUCGGGAAGACUCAGAGAGACGGGAUCAUGGCCUAUGGCUGAGUUAUUACACGACGGUGUAAUGUGGCAGUGACCCGAAGGACUGUGGGCUGUCGCGCGGUGACCCGAAGGACUGUGGGCCGCGGUCGGUUGAAAGUUCCUUCUUCUGGCCUUUGUGGUAGGGAGAUAGGAUAUUGCCGAUGUUGAGGAGGAACACGAGAUCACCAGGGCCCAUGUUAGAGUAUUGAGUUUAGAGUUAGAAUAGUGUGUCGAGUUAGUUUUAUUGUGUCGUCUUGAGGGUGAGGAACCCUCGAGAUAGUGUUAGCACCGAGAUACGGUGUUGAUCGAGUCUUGAUUGUUAGAUUAGGGAUCCGUUGAGUAGAUGGUCGUUUGGCCAUGUCUAUUAUUAGUAUUAUUAGAUUAAGGUCGAGCAUACCUUAAUCGGUGCGGUUUUGGGGAUUAGCCUUAAAGCUUUAUUUUCUGCGCUUAGGCUAGAUUGAUUGUUAUUUUUGGGUUGUCUGAGCUAGCUACUAGGUUUAGGUAUUUAGGUAUCCAGCUCACUGAGUGACCUUCUGUUACUCACCCAACUCUCGUUGUCCUUUUUGCAGGAGUUUAGUUUGUAGGAGAUUAGACGCGUAGGCCACCGGAAUAGAUUUGCAGUGCAUUUGGCUACGGUUUGAUUUUUAUACGAUUUAUGUUUCCGUUGCGUUUUAUCGGAUUUGGGAUCCCUAAAGUAUUGCAAAUAUUCUUAAAAGUCUUGGAUUUAAAUCUUAAAAAAAUUAACGGGUCCAAUAUGAUAUUGGUUUAGUCCGAACCAACACAACGUUAGGUCUUGGUACGGGUUGAAAAGCCUUAAGCCUCGAUCUAACGGAACCGUUAACUCAUGGUACAGGUUGCAAAGCCUUAAGCCUUGAUUUAACGGGACGUGUUAGUGGAUGAACUAGUCUAGGUUGCGGAAUAAAUCUGUGACUCGGACCGGAUCGUCCCUAGCUCGUCACGUAGCGCUUCCGGACCAUGGUGUUGGGUUGGACGGUCAGUCAUGUUCUUGUUUGAUUGUUGGCUGGCCGGUUGGCCUUUCAUCUCCAAUCCUUGGUGUUGGUUGGUCCGUCGGUCAUGUUCUUGUUUGAUUGUUGGCCGGUGGGUCGACCUAUGCCUAGGACGGUUCGGGGGUGUUACAGAGGUGGUAUCAGAGCAUGGUUACGAUUAUGCUCACUGGUUCCCGUGGUUUUUCAAAUGUUUUCAAUGUUUUUCGAGUCAAAAGGAGUCGCCAAUGCACUCUUUAGGAAUCCGGUCGUGUCCAAUCGUUUAGGAGGGGUAGGAGAGAUUUUAUUUUAUUAUUAGCUUGUUGUCUAACCCAUAUAUAUUGCGACAUGAUUCCGCAGGUUGCUGUACUGGUGUGGUAGGGUGGAGAUUUGGAGUUACGGAGGAUUUCGACGUUUCGCCUAGUCCUAUACUUGCCGAUCUUUUUCAGCCGCAUGAGUUUGAUCAGAUCGUACCAGACAUGUUUCCGACACCUAUCAUCAUUUCUGAUGAUGACACCGAGCCUGAUGAUGCGGUUCCGACACCCUUUAUUGUCAUUUCUGACGAUGAGACCAAUGCGGAUGAUCUUGUUCCGCAGAUGCCUACGGUAGCACCACCGAGCCCCAUCACUAUCUUGUCUACGGGUACUACUGGAGAUACGCCGAGUUAUGAUCCUGCUGAGGAUCAGGGCACUUCGCCACCUACUCCAGAUGUGUCGACACCAUCAUAUGGUCCCUUACCUUUGUCUCCGGGAUUACCCGAUCCUACUCUCAGCCCGACGAUUGACAUACAUUAUGAGAUGGGUCUGGAGGGAUUUUACGAUCUGCCGAUGGAGAGUAUUGGUGACAGCCAUGAUGAUCCAUUACUUUACUAUCCAGACAUCAUGAUUCCUGAUGAGCCAGCAAACUAUCAGUCCAUGGAGAGCGUUGGACACCCUGAUGACGACCCAUUCCUUUAUGAUCCAGACGUGAUGAUGAUGGACCAGCCACUUCCUCAGCCGGCGGACUUAUCUUUUUCUCAUACUAUACCUGCGAGUGGAGAGCCUUCCAGCUUUCCACCCAUGGAGCCAUCCACGACCUACUCACCAUUAUCUCAGCCAUUCUAUGACUACGGAGAGCCUUCCAGCUUUCCGACGAUGGAGGUACCCAAGACUGAAUUACCAUUUUACCAGACCACUUAUCAGACCGGAGGGCCAUCUAGCCUUCCAGCGAUGGAUGCAUCUUUUGAUCUUGGAGGAUCUGCUUCUUCUGGUGAUCCUUACGCACCUCAGUCCUAUCGAUGUUUUUGGUGUCAGAGCAGGAUAUGUGGAUCCACACGGAUUCCCAUAUCAUACUUAUCUUGGUAGAUCGGAUCUGUACCCGAGGUGUUUUACUUGUGGAGGCAUAGCACAUUCGACUGGCGUGUGCACGAGCUACGACGAGCCAGCAGCGAUACCCUACCUACACAGUGCGCAACCAGCAGGGGAUUCGUCCGAGUGGGGCUACUGCCCCAACUGCGACAUGUUGCUUUAUAUAUGGCGUUCUUAGACGUGUAGGACCGGGUAAGUAGGGUACAGACUUUUUGUGGUGAUAUAGCGGUGUAUAGACUUUUGUAGUGUUUUGUGACAGCUGAUGUCUUUUGUUGUAUGAUAUAUCAUCAGUAACGAUAAAGGAUGUUUUUCUGUCAAGUAUAUGUAUAUAUUUGAUGGGAGGAUAUGUUUUAUAGUGAAGGUGGUUAUCAUUUGCGUUUUUCUAUUUAGUAAUUACGUAACCAUAUCAUUCAAGUAUGCAUGUUCUUGCAUAUUUGAAUUAUGUGGUUUACAAGAUGAAAAAUAGUGAUCGCUUGGACAUAUGGUUUUACAAAACAUUUACAACUGUUUAAAUAUCACACAAAUCGUUGGUACAGUAGAGUCUUAGUUUUUAGGCCGCAUUUUUUUAGGGCUGGUUAGUGGAACAUAGAAUUGCUAGGUUGUUGGUUAGAAUUGCGGUUAGAUUACCCGGUUAGAAUCGUUAGGUUGCUGGAUAGAUUUGGUAGGUUGCUGGUUAGUUUUGGAUUAGAUUGUUAGGUUAGUUGUUAACUAACUUGCAUGUGAAGUGUUCUUUUGAGUUGCAGCUUGUGUGUUCGUUGAUCGGAACUUUAAGGAAUGGAAACCUUAAAGUGAAAAGAGUUCAAGGCUAAAAACCCAAAAUGAAGAGAGAGAGAUUUAGAGGGACUGGACAGUGGUAUGGACUGGACAAGUAUGAGAAAGACUUCGUUGAGAAAGGACUUCAUCAGUUUUGGGAAAAGAAAGGUUUCAGUGAUCAGAAGCAAAGAUGGUGCGCGUUAUGGCAGAGUAAAUGCAAGAAGACGAUUCAGUAUUCAUCAAGUGAAGAGUUUUGUGGCAACUUUGAGAAGGAGACUCAUGGGAGAGCAGUAGAUACGGUGAAGCAAUAUGAAGAUGAAUUCAGCAUGAGAGUGAAGCGAUAUGGAGAUGAGUUAAGAAUGAGUGAAGCAUGGGAAAUCAAGAAGUGAAGGACGGAUUCAAGACUAAAGGAAUGCUUUGAGAUGUAUCAAGACGGAGUGAGUUCAGAACCAGAAGUUUGGGUGGAGACCAGAGAAACCGAAAGGAGGAAACCAAGGGCAAACCGAUAAAGAAGCACAUCAAGUGAUCAAGACCGCGAGACAAGUGAUCCAAGGAGAAAUUUUCAUCAAGGGGAUGAACAUGUCGUGAAGCUGAGCCAUUGGACAACUAAGAAUGCGAGGACGAAUUCUAUUAAGGGGGGAAGAAUGUGAUAAUCCGCCCUUCGGGAUAAAAUGGUUGAGCAAGGGAAAGUCAGAAUCUGGAGCCAAGCUUUUGGGAGAUUACAUAUUUGGAGUAAUGUUGAGUUUUGAUCACACAAAACUUAACAAGGUUCGGAGAAGACAGAAGAUUGGUCGAGCAUCAACUUGAUGAUCGAACCGCGGGCGGUACGAACCGAGAAGUUCGAAGUAGGAUGUGGUCGAAGAAUGGAUCGUGAGUGAACCAUGAGACAUAUUACGCUGCUCUACCUUUCUUAGAAGAGUCUUAGAUUGAUCAGACGAAGAUUUUGGAAGAAUCACAUUUUUGGAAGCACGACGGUUUAGAAGCUCGACGUUUCUUAGCCACUAAGUUUUCUGUGAAACUUCACAUCUAUCAUCAGAAUAUUAUUUCAGAGAUAUUAUAAUUUGGAAGCAUGACGGGAGUAAGCAGGACGGGAAGCAAGCACGACGGAAAAACCCGAAGUUGGUCGAAAACCCUAAUUUCGGUUUUUCGAAAUUAUUGGAAGAAGCCGGAGGCUCGGGAAAUAUUUUUAGAGGAUCUCAGUAUUUAUCUGGAGUUUAUUAAAAAUAUUUAGAGAAUCAGAACGGGAGCGGAAAAAUAUUCAGGAUUGAUCGCGGGACGAAAAUUCACCAGAAAGACCGAAAUCGCACAAAUCAACCGGGAAGCUCGAGGUGGCCCUAUCUGAGAGAUCAGGACGUGCUGUCCUUCAUCCAAGCAUCUUAGUGUCUCCGUAGCACGACAUGUCUCCGCAGGAUGAAGCCUCACAUGCAGCAUGACACCCAAAGCACGACAUGGCAUCGUCUUGACACCCAGAGGCCCGUGUGUCGCGAUGCAUGAGCUCCAGCCAUGCUGAAUGACAUCUGGACGUGGUGCUGGCUUCUGGCAUGCAGAGGAGUCAUGCAUGGUGACAUUUGGACGCCCGUGUGUCGCCGCGCAUGCGACUGGAAGCAUGCGGGACGACACAAAGGCGAUGGAGUGGCACCAUUUCAAUGGUUGGCCAUAUCUAUAUAAACCCAGCUCCCCCAGCUCGUUUCAUUCAUUCCACACACUCAAACAUCACUCUAAAACUUGGGCUAGAGAGAGAAAGUGAAGUAGAAAAAGGAAGUGAAGGAUUUGGAGUUGUUUUGAAGAAGUUAGAGCAUUUUUAAGAGCCAUUGUUCUACCGAAAGUCCAAGAAGAAGAUCCAGAAGUCCGAGGAGGUUCUGUCCAAGUCCUGAUUCGUCCAUACCAGUCCAUUGAAGACAGAGGCCUUGGGUUUUGGCUAGGCUCUCUCCGAUCAACCAGCUGCAAGAACACUGUGAGUUGGUUUGUUUGAGUUCCACUUGGAACUUAGGAUAGAUCGAGUUGCAUAUAGAGUAGAAAUAUCACACUGAUGCAUGAUAGAGUCCUAGGGUUAUUUUUAUUUAUGAAUUGGACUCAGUUUAGCAUGGGCUAAGCUGAGAUAUAGGCCGUGUUCGUUUGCUGGUCGCUAGCGUCAGCGACCAAGUUCAGCGACCAAACGCUGUUCGUUUACCGGUCGUGAGUUCAGCGACUGAUCUCAGCGACCAAACGCUAGCGAUCAGCGAUUUAAAAUUUUGGACGCUGGAAAUUUCAGCGGUGCGACCAAAAUCGUGCGACUAGAAAUUUUUUUUUUUUUUUUUUUUUGAACACUCGAAAAAAUAAAAAAAAACUUAAAAAGACAAAACUACCCUAAAUAUAUUUACAGAAUCACAAUACAUUGCCAUUAACCCUAAUACAAACUCACGCCAAAAAAAAAAACCAGAAACUUCUCUCUCUCUCCCCGAUCUAUUUCCUGCGGCCAUACUUCUCUUCUCUGCUCAAGCUCUCUUUCUCUCCGAUCUAUUUCCGGCAGCCACAGAGAACCUUCUCUGCUCAAGGUCUCUCUCUCUCUCUCUCUCUCUCUCUCUCUCUCUCUCUGCGUUUUGUGUGAGGAUAAUGGAACCUUUAGAUUAAUUAAGUUGACUGUUGGGUUUUUUGAUUCUUGAUAUGGGUUGCUUUUAGAUUUAAGAUUUUGAUUAUCAAAUCUUUGUUUUUAAUCCGAUUAUCAGACAUGGGUUUGAGUUCCUGUGAAUGUUUUCAGACAUGGGUUUGAGUUCUUUUUGGUAUGUGACGAAGUGUUCUUGCAUUUGCUUUCAAGUAGUUUAUAGUUUGGUCUGAAUAAAGCUUCGAUGUUUGGAACAAGAGUCAAAUUUUGUGUGCUUUUGAUAGAUUGUUGUUUCAGUUUAGUAGUAGUGAUGAAAUAUGUGUCUGCAAGUCUCAUCAUUUAUGUCUGUAUUAUCUUCUCAGGUUGGACAUAAAUCACAACAAGACAAGAUAAGAAGAAUGGCUGAUGAUGUAAGUGUUUUAGGCAGUUCUAGUUUCUUAGAUCUUUUGUGAUAGUUUUUUCUGCUAGUUUAGCUUGUUUGUCUAUUGAUGAGACUUGUUAUUUAGAAAUGGACCGAUGAAGAAGUUAGGUAUUUCUUUGCUCUUUAUGCUGAUGAGAAAAAGAAAGGGAACAGACCAAGGAGUGGCAUGAAUCUAGCUGGAAGAGAGUUCAUCGUAAAUAAGUUUGAAGAGAAAUUUGGUAAGAGAUGGAUAUGGGACAGGUUUAAGAACAAGGUUGAUAUUAGUAGAAAAGCAUAUGUCAAGUUCAAGAAGCUUACCCACAAUAGAACCGGGCUUGUCUAUGAUGCUUUGGGAAGGUUGGAGAUGUCGGAUGCUUGGUGGGAUCAACGCAUUGCGGUAAGUAUCUUUCUCUUAGUCUUCAGUGCUUUAAUAAUGUCAGUAUUAGAGUUCUCUUUCUGCUUAGAGUGAAAAAUAUUAGACAUUGAAUCAGUAUUAGCUUGAAAAAAAUAUUAGACAUUGAAAAAUACUGUAUGUUUCAAAUAUACUAAUUUUUUUCUUCUUAAACAGGAAUGGCAAGGUGCAAGAAAGUAUAAGACCAAAGUGCCUCCAAACAUGGAUGUGUUUGAAGCAGAGUUUGGUGCUGUUACUGUAACUGGAGCAGAAGGAUGGUGUGCUCAGCAAGGAGAAGCUAGCUUAGAUUCUAGAGUAGAUGUAGAGAAGGAUGACGAGUCUGAUUCAGUUGACACUGGGAUGCCAGCACCAAGAGAAGGAACAAGUAGAGCUGGAGGUUCAAAAAGAAAGCGUAAGGAAUUUGAUCAAGAGCCUUAUGUUCUAAGGAAUGCAAUUCUGGCUGAGAAAAAUAAGAUAGCAGAAAAGAUGGUAGAGAUAAUGGCAGAGGAUCGUGUGGUGUUGCAGCAGGAUCGCAAAUUCCGUGUGCACUCUGUGUUGGAGAUACUUAAUGAGCUACCUGGAAUUAUAAAGUGGUCACCAUUUCACAUUGCUGCAGUUAACCAUCUCAAAGCUGUUGAAGAAAACAGAAUGGCUUUUAUGUCUUUCUCUAGUGAUGAUGAUAAGAUUAGCUAUCUUGAAAAUAUGAUUGGAGUUAAGAUAUAUGAAGGAUUGUAGUGUCUGUUUCAGUAUGACUGUUUUAAUAUGACUCAGAUUGUAGUGUUUCUUUUAAGUAUGACUUUUGUUUCAUUUUUUUGGUAUGAAUCAGAUUGUAGUAUUUUAAUGUGAUAGUACCAUUAUUCUCGUGUCUGCCUGCUCAAAUUGGAAGUUGGUUUUUUUUAAUGUGAUAGGAAGUUGGGUUUUUUUUUUCUGUCUCGCAACUUAUAUAUAUAUAUGUGAUUUUAAUGCUUUGCAGAUGGUUAGGUGGUACUUGGAUGAUGAUGAUGAGGAUGAUGAUUAUGAGGAAGAGCAUGAAGUUGAUGUGCUUAAGCCAGAGAGAUUGCUUCAUAGAACAGAUCGAGGUGCUGGAUGGAAUCAUGUUCAGCAGCUUAUGCACGGGUCAGAUCAACAGUGCUAUGAUAUUCUUCGCAUGAAUCAGAGGACAUUUCAAGAUCUGUGUAAGAUGUUAGCAACGAGAUAUGGGUUACAAGAGACGUUGAAUGUCUAUAUUGAAGAAGCGGUUGCAAUGUUCCUUGAAGUGGUGGGUCAAGAUAAGACAGUACGGGUUAUUGCACAAAGAUAUCAACGUUCGUUGGAUACAGUCAAAAGGAAACUUGGUGAGGUUUUGAGUUCUCUCUUGAAAUUUGCUGCAGAUACACUAAAACCAGAAGAUGGUGAGUUCACAAGAGUAUGUCCUGCUUUGAGAAAUGAUGAUCGAUACUGGCCAUUUUUUAAAGACUGUAUUGGAGCAUUGGAUGGAACUCAUAUCUCAGUCCGCCCUCCUAAACGAAAUGCAGAAGCAUACAGGGGCAGAAAACAGGAGCCAACCAUGAAUGUCCUUGCUAUAUGUAACUUUGAUAUGAAGUUCAUAUAUGCUUAUGUGGGUGUGCCGGGUAGAGCCCAUGACACAAAGGUAUUAACUUAUUGUGCGAGGAAUGAGCCUUUUUUUCCACAUCCGCCAAAUGGAAAGUAUUAUUUGGUUGAUGCUGGAUAUCCCACAAGAACAGGGUAUCUUGGUCCGUAUCGUAGAGUUCGGUAUCAUCUCGAUCAGUUCAACAGAGGAGGACCGCCAACGAACACUCGAGAGGUGUUCAACCGGAGACAUUCAAGCUUGCGAUCAGUGAUUGAGCGGACAUUUGGAGUGUGGAAAGCAAAAUGGAGAAUUCUUGACCGUAGGCAUCCAAAAUAUGGUUUGAUCAAAUGGAUAAAGCUAGUGACGGCAACGAUGGCUCUACACAACUUCAUACGUGAUUCACAUCGAGAAGAUAAUGAUUUUGUGCAUUGGCAGAGAAGAGAAGAAUAUCAUACUCAUGGUGAUAAUGAUGAAGAAGAAAGAGAUGAAGAGGAAGAUGAAGAAGAAGAAGAAGAAGAUGGUGAUGGUCAUGGUGGACAUAUUCCAUAUGAGCCGACUGGUGAUAGAGCCAUGGAAGGUUUACGUGAUCAUAUUGGUAAUGAGUUGAGUAGAGGAUAUCGAUUACCUUAUUAGUUUAUUUGAUUUGAAUUUGUACUGAUUAUUAUUAUAAGUUACUCGUAUGAUCACUCAUAAACAAAAGUGAACUUGUACAAGGAAAAAUAUAAGAAAUUGAAACGAUUAAACAUAUUGCAUCCAUGGUGUGAUUUAUUACACUUUACAGUUUUAAUGAUUUAGCCACGUUUUUGACGAAACCUAAGUACACAAGAGCAAAUGUAUGUCAAAAGUAAAUAUUUGGUCGCCAGCGAUACAGAAACGAACAGCAUAGCGACAACCGCUGCGAUCAAUCGCGCGACAUAGAAACGAACAGCAUAGCGACAACCGCUGCGAUCAAUCGCGCGACCUUCAAACGAACAACUAUCAGCGACAUCAUGUCGCAGUCGCUGGUCGCUGACUCUGGUCGCUGACGCUGGCGACCACGAAACGAACAGGGCCAUAAUGGAAUUAAGACUGAGUUAUAACCUGACUAGGACUAGGAUGAAUGAUGCAUUAACCGGUAUAGUGUGAUAAAUUAUGGCGUAGCUGAAUUGUUAGGAUUGAGAUGCAUGUUUUCCUUUAUUUAUUUAUGGGUAGUUUAGUAAUGGAGUAGACCUGCCUUAGAGAUAUUAGGACUAUUGAAUGCUUGGUUUGGUAGUGAUUGUUGUUGUGCAGGGAUGGUAUUGUUCAGGAGAUCUUAGGCCAUAUAGGCCGAUUUCCGUCCAUGUCGAGUUUAGUACUACGAAUCCUAUGCCAUAUAGGCUGGACUACGAGUACUGGUGUUAGUGUCGUAGACUCCUUAGUGUAUUUAAGUUUGUGGUAGGAGUCUUGGUCUUAUUAGGAUUAGUGUGUUGUUGCCGAUAGUAUGAGCAUAACCCGUCCAUACUAGGCUUGUUUAAGGGUGAUUAGUGUUUCCUCAGCCUCGUACCCAGCGGGUUUAAGGAAAUCCCUUCUUCGUUGGAUCGGGAAGACUCAGAGAGACAGGAUCAUGGUCUAUGGCUGAAUUAUUACACGACGGUGUAAUGUGGCAGUGACCCGAAGGACUGUGGGCUGUCGCGCGGUGACCCGAAGGACUGUGGGCCGCAGUCGGUUGAAAGUUCCUUCUUCUGGCCUUUGUGGUAGGGAGAUAGGAUAUUGCCGAUGUUGAGGAGGAACACGAGAUCACCAGGGCCCAUGUUAGAGUAUUGAGUCUAGAGUUAGAAUAGUGUGUCGAGUUAGUUUUAUUGUGUCGUCUUGAGGGUGAGGAACCCUCGAGAUAGUGUUAGCACCGAGAUACGGUGUUGAUCAAGUCUUGAUUGUUAGAUUAGGGAUCCGUUGAGUAGAUGGUCGUUUGGCCAUGUCUAUUAUUAGUAUUAUUAGAUUAAGGUCGAGCAUACCUUAAUCGGUGCGGUUUUGGGGAUUAGCCUUAAAGCUAUUUUCUGCGCUUAGGCUAGAUUGAUUGUUAUUUUUGGGUUGUCUGAGCUAGCUACUAGGUUUAGGUAUUUAGGUAGCCAGCUCACUGAGUGACCUUCUGUUACUCACCCAACUCUCGUUGUCCUUUUUGCAGGAGUUUAGGUUGUAGGAGAUUGGACGCGUAGGCCACCGAAAUAGAUUUGCAGUGCAUUUGGCUACGGUUUGAUUUUUAUACGAUUUAUGUUUCCGUUGCGUUUUAUCGGAUUUGGGAUCCCUAAAGUAUUGCAAAUAUUCUUAAAAGUCUUGGAUUUAAAUCUUAAAAAAAUUAACGGGUCCAAUAUGAUAUUGGUUUAGUCCGAACCAACACAACGUUAGGUCUUGGUACGGGUUGAAAAGCCUUAGGCCUCGAUCUAACGGAACCGUUAACUCAUGGUACAGGUUGCAAAGCCUUAAGCUUUGAUUUAGCGGGACGUGUUAGUGGAUGAACUAGUCUAGGUUGCGGAAUAAAUCUGUGACUCGGACCGGAUCGUCCCUAGCUCGUCACGUAGCGCUUCCGGACCAUGGUGUUGGGUUGGACGGUCAGUCAUGUUCUUGUUUGAUUGUUGGCUGGCCGGUUGGCCUUUCAUCUCCAAUCCUUGGUGUUGGUUGGUCUGUCGGUCAUGUUCUUGUUUGAUUGUUGGCCGGUGGGUCGACCUAUACCUAGGACGGUUCGGGGGUGUUACAGUCCUUGUCUUAGGACUUUCUCAAACUGUACCAUUCAAAUAACUGAAAACAGAAAAGUCUUUGGUCUUUAAGACUUGUAAGCCGUGGGUAAUAAAUCUUUGUCUUUGUUAAGACAUGUGUAAGCCGUGGGUAAAAAUCUUUGUAAGCCGUGGGUAAGGAAUCUGUUUUCAGUUAUAGUCUUUUGUCUUAAGACUGAGCCGCAUGCUCUUAUUUGCCAUCCCCUAAAGCCCUUCUUUAUACAUGCACCACCAACCCAUAUUCUCGGUCCAUUAGGAGAUGGCAUAAGUUUCUUUUAGAGGCAGCAAGGGACAAUGUUUUCAGUUAUAGUCCUUGUCUUAGGACUUUCUCAAACUGUACCGUUCAAAUAACUGAAAACAGAAAAGUCUUUGGUCUUUAAGACUUGUAAGCCGUGGGUAAUAAAUAUUUGUCUUUAUCUAAGACAUGUGUAAGCCGAGGGUAAUAAAUCUUUGUAAGCCGUGGGUAAGGAAUCUGUUUUUAGUUAUAGUCUUUUGUCUUAAACUGAGCCGCAUGCUCUUAUUUGCCAUCCCCUGACGCCCUUCUCUAUACAUGCACCACCAACCCAUAUUCUCGAUCCAUUAGGGGAUGGCAUAAGUUUCUUUUAGAGGCAGCAAGGGACAUUGUUUUCAGUUAUAGUCCUUGUCUUAGGACUUUCUCAAACUGUACUGUUCAAAUAACUGAAAACAGAAGAGUCUUUGGUCUUUAAGACUUGUAAGCCGUGGGUAAUAAAUUUUUGUCUUUGUCUAAGACAUGUGUAAGCCGAGGGUAAUAAAUCUUUGUAAGCCGUGGGUAAGGAAUCUGUUUCCAGUUAUAGUCUUUUGUCUUAAGACUGAGCCGCAUGCUCUUAUUUGCCAUCCCCUAACGCCCUUCUCUAUACAUUCACCACCAACCCAUAUUCUCGAUCCAUUAGGGGAUGGCUUAAGUUUCUUUUAGAGGCAGCAAGGGACAAUGUUUUCAGUUAUAGUCCUUGUCUUAGGACUUUCUCAAACUGUACCGUUCAUAUAACUGAAAACAGAAAAAUCUUUGGUCUUUAAGACUUGUAAGCCGUGGGUAAUAAAUCUUUGUCUUUGUCUAAGACAUGUGUAAGCCGAGGGUAAUAAAUCUUUGUAAGCCGUGGGUAAGAAAUCUGUUUUCAGUUAUAGUCUUUUGUCUUAAGACUGAGCCGCAUGCUCUUAUUUGCCAUCCCCUAACGUCCUUCUCUAUACAUGCACCGCCAACCCAUAUUCUCGAUCCAUUAGGGGAUGGCAUAAGUUUCUUUUAGAGGCAGCAAGGGACAUUGUUUUCAGUUAUAGUCCUUGUCUUAGGACUUUCUCAAACUGUACCGUUCAAAUAACUGAAAACAGAAAAGUCUUUGGUCUUUAAGACUUGUAAGCCGUGGGUAAUAAAUCAUUGUCUUUGUCAAAGACAUGUGUAAGCCGUGGGAAAAAAUUUUGUAAGCCGGAGGUUAGGAAUCUGUUUUCAGUUAUAGUCUUUUGUCUUAAGACUGAGCCGCAUGCUCUUAUUUGCCAUCCCCUAAUGCCCUUCUUUCUACAUGCACCACCAACCCAUAUUCUCGAUCCAUUAGGGGAUAGCAUAAGUUUCUUUUAGAGGCAGCAAGGGACAUUGUUUUCAGUUAUAGUACUUGUCUUAGGACUUUUUCAAACUGUACCAUUCAAAUAACUGAAAACAGAAAAGUCUUUGGUCUUUAAGACUUUUAAGCCGUGGGUAAUAAAUCUUUGUCUUUGUCAAGACAUGUGUAAGCCGUGGGUAAUGUAAGCCGUGGGUAAGGAAUCUGUUUUCAGUUAUAGUCUUUUGUCUUAAGACUGAGCCGCAUGCUCUUAUUUGCCAUCCCCUAAAGCCCUUCUUUAUACAUGCACCACCAACCCAUAUUCUCGGUCCAUUUAACAAUCUUGCUAUAGGAGAUGGCAUAAGUUUCUUUUAGAGGCAGCAAGGGACAAUGUUCCCAAAUAAGAAUCUGACAGAACACUAUAAGAUUAGUGUCUGUCUAUGAUCUUUUUUGGGAUUUGAAAAACAAAAACAAAACCAAAACAAAACCAAAACAAUGUUCCCAAACAAGAAUCUGACAGAACACUAUUAGAUUAGUGUUUGUCUAUGAUCUUUUUUGGGUUUGAAAAACCACAAGAACGUCUAUAGCAAGAACAUUACAAGAACGUCUGUCUAAUCUCUUGGGUUUGAUAAAACCACAAGAAAACAAAAAGCUUUAAAAGUCCUGUUAAAAGAGGAAAAUCGUAGUCAAAUAAAAACAGUUCAAAACGGAAUCCUGAUUUCAAAAAUCUCAAAACAAAACCGGGAUAAAAGCGCUUGAAAAUAAACGGGAAAGUCUAAGGACAUACAGAGAAGAGAAAAGACAAUCAAAAAGCUGAGUUUGUGCCAAAGGUGUGCAGAGAGAAACAGGACGACAUAGAUGUUUUUGAUUUACCUCAGUUGAGCUAUUGGGAGAGAACCACCGUAAGAGCACUCCUAAAUGUACAACGGCCGGUAUCAACUUGAAUAGAAAUGGUGUCGUUACCUGCAACACAUUCACUUUAAUGUACAUGUCAAAAUAUUCGUUCUAUAACUGAAAUGGUGUGGAUGUGAACCAUACCAGGCUUAGAGCAGUUGUUCCCAGAAGCAGGAGGUACAGUUGAAUAAACACAAAACCCUUCACUGUUAUCACUCCACCAAAAGCAAAAUUAUGAGCAACCUAUUAUGGUACCACACAGUCGGGAAGAUAUAACCGUAGUUGCACAACACAGUUUCAUUUGAUUGCUUACCUCAAUAAGGUGAAGAUUAGAUGCUCGACUUAGCAGAACAAAAGCAAAUUCCCCAAUCUGCGCAAGCGACAUUCCAACCUAUAGAGAAGAAAACUGUAAGGGCUCUCACUACGAGUAAGGUUUGGAGCAAUGUGAAAGCAAAAAGGAAGGGUUCACUUCUUACAAGUACUGCAGUUUUGUUAUUGUAUCCAAAGACCUUAACAACGAUUGCAACGACCACGGUCUUUAUCACUAUCACCAGUAACACAGCUGCUACCAGAAUAUCAACAUGGUUCCACAAGAAGUGCAUAUGUAUCAACAUUCCAAUACUAGCAAGGAACAACGCUGCAAAAAAAUUGCGGAUUGGUUCUACCUGAAAGGGAAGCACAGGAAUGAUAAGAAGAGCUCUAUGUGGCAAAAAAGAGAAAUGCAUUUCAUAAAGUCACCAACAGAUAUAUAGCACAAAAGACACUUGUGGCAUAAGAAUGUUCAAAUAAAAUGCGAAAAGAUCCACAAGUCCGAAAGAGUCAAAAUUGACUUCUUACUUGUUCAAGAGUAUGCUGGGCGAGAUCCGUUGAUGAGAUCAUCACUCCUGCCGCAAAGGAACCCAGCUCAAGACUUAGACCGAGCUUGUCACUACACUGAAGAAACCAAAACAAUACUGAGUUUAUGAACUGAAAAUUUGAGAUAGCACAUGUGCAAACGGCCAAUAGAUAAGAAGAACAAAUGGAUCAGACUGACCCAAGCAACAAGCAAACAAAAUGCUACAGCGGCCAACUGGUAGAGCUCGUUAGUCUGUCAAAGAUUGACGAACGCUUAAGUUGAUAAACAUUUUAAAGACCAAAAACGGAAGCAAGUAAAAAUAUGUGUAUACCUGAGAAGAAAGGCUUGUCAUAAGUUUUAGAAACCAAGGUACCCAGGUACGUGACAGUACAAACAAAGCAGCCAAAAACGCAAUCAAAAUAGCCAACCUUGAAAGAAAUUACCGCACGGUCAAAAGAAAUGAAAUAUCAAAAACUUGGUUUCACUGAACAACAGUAUAACAAGUGAAAAAGGAAGCAGGAUAUUGUCGACAUUUUCACAGAACUUCCAGUAAAAUAGAAAACAUACGAUUUAGCCAUGGACAACAUUCCUUGAACGACACCAGAUGUGCCACCAAGAACCGGAAGGAGAGCAAAAAGCAAACCCACAGCACAAUCCUAGAGAUUCAUGAAGCCAUAUAUUAAAAAUCUAAUGAAAGCAACUGUAGGAUACAACAUACUAAUAGCUGAAAUCCAGUAGCAUACAAAAGAGUAAGCGGAAACAGUAGCCUGUACAAAUCAUAUUACUAUGCUAUUGUUUGGAGAGUGACUGAGAUACCUGAAGGAUAAGUGUUCCAACGGUUAUCUGGCCAUGUAGAGCACUUAUGCUCUUUUUUCCAUUAAAAAUUUCAACACCUGAUAUAAGAAUCAUGGCAAGGUAAAAAUAACAUAUGAGGAUCACCCCUAAAGAGAAACUUAGGGAAACAUAACUGGUACAACAAAAGAAAGGAUUUAAUACAGUGAGAGCACACAGAGUAAAUUAUAACAGUUUAGAAUUACAAAAGUGAUAUUAGAAUAUACCACCGCUGUUGACGACAUCGAAAGAAAAGCACCUACGAAUAUUCCUUCUGUUAGUUUACCACCGCAUAACUGCAAUGCAAUGAAGAAGCAGCCAAGUCAACCCAAUGCAUUCCUUUUCAUGAUUUAUACACAAUAAGCCUAAUAACUCAUUCUUACUCAAUUGCUAUUACUAUUUACAAACUAGAACAUACCGAGGCUGUUAUCCCACUCAAGCACAUGAACAAAAAUAUUUGAAGAAGACCUCCUGGAAUAGCUACUGCACGAACUACACGAAGCUGCGACCACAAAGUACAAUAAAUCAAUGACUAUCUCAAAAGUUUCAAAAGAACAAAGAAACCAGAAAAGUGUAAGAGGGUGGAAACAUGCAAACCUUUGCUGCAGAAAAUUCUAAUCCUAAAGCAAAAAGAAGAAAGAUUACACCAAACUGAGCUACUGUUUCAACCUGUGCUACACAAAAGAAUAUAUAUAUCAAGUCUUGUCGACCAUUAACAUAGCCAGUCAAUCUCUUAAUCAUGAAAACUUCCGUCGAAAUGCAAUAUGAAGACAAAAAGGAGGAACUUUGAAGAGCUAAAGCUGAUGUAAGCUACCUGCACCAUUUCACUAACAAAGCUUAACCCACCCGGUCCAAUGAUAGAUCCAGCCAACAGAUACCCAGUAAUGACCUGCCAAGUAAGUAGUACAGAAAUUAAAUAUGGCCGUCACUGUUCGAUGAUUCAAAGGCCAACAAAAUCAAUUCUAAGCUCUUGGAAAGGUGAAUACUCAAAUGGUAACGGAAUAAUGUUGAAAGUUACAAGCUCUGCAAAGGAAGCGUGUACUCACCGGUUGACCAGCACAAGCAAAUGCAAUUCCACCACAAGUAGCAGAAACAAUGACGACGACCAAAUCUGAUAUCAGCCUACAAAUAUAUCCAGUUAAGAGAGGCGUCCCCAACAAAAAACGGUUAGGUAGAUUCUUACAAAUGAUAAAUGAUCAAAGACCUUUCCUUACGAAUGCUAUAUUUACCUUAAAUCUAGCUGCAGUACAGGGUACUUGGACUUUGGAUUGGACAUGAUAAAAACGUUGUCCUGGAUUGGAAUUGAAAAUUCACAAUUCAGGAAUGUUGUCACAAACGGGUAGAUAACAGGUGUACAUUCUCUCUUAACCAAUAUAUAGUACAAUUCUUCAAAGACUAUGAAAGCUUACCUUCCUAUCUAUCAGUCUUGGAGUAUCUUCUACGCCAUUCUCGUUAUCCAAAUUAAAGAAUGAUCUAGCAUAAAAGGCACUGAUUAUAUUACCGCCUCUGAAACAAAGCUAGAUAGCAGCCACAACUUUCACAAAUCGAGUCCAAAAAGGGUAAAGCAAGCAUGAUUAUAAAGAGACUCACUUCUCCUCCUUGGUCUUGGUCUCAUUUUUCUUGGGCUUCACUCGAGCAACAGUUUCCAGAACAGCCUAAAGAGCAGAACAAAUGGUUUAAUAAAAAGAAGGAAAAAAAAACAAGAAAGACUGAGUAGUGUACCGUCUAAAAGCAAUAAGGCCACAAAUGAAGUGGCGAAAACAAAGAUUACAAUUAACCAACCUGCUGAUCAGCAACGCUAUUAUUAAAGCUUCCUGGAUCAGGAACUGCAAAAGCAAAACAAGACAAAAGCAAUUCACAAACCACUUAUUCAAAGAGUUCAAAUAACAUCUUGUAUAUCCUCUAGGACGAGACCAGACCAAGUGAUAUAAUCCAAGAGUUUUAAGCACUAUGCCAUUGGUCAAUAACUUUUAUCAUCUCAAUAUGCAAUUCAUUAAAUUCUAUAAGCCAUGAGUAAUCUAAAAACUCCAAUGCAGAUGUGAGCAUUAGCUAAAAUCAAUGAUAAAUCCCUAAGGAGUAGAAUCAAUUUUCACCAAAUCUAAAACUGAAAACAAAACCCUAGUGUAGCAAACGAACCAUCGUUCUGGUCAUUCUCCGGAAACUCCUUCUCAAGUGCCCUAUCGAUCAUAUCGGCGAAACUGUCCUCCUUAGGUUUCGCGUUCGUCGCAUUGGACUCGGCGGCGUUUCCGUUGAUCUCGCGUGUGGCAACUGACUCAGUCCCGAUAUCGGACUCGGCGGAGAAGGCAAGAUGGAAACUACAGAUCAGGAGAAACGCCAGAAACCUCAUCGUUUCCACGGAGAUGAAUUCGCCGAUUUUACACCGCCGCAUCUCAGUGACGGUGGUGGCGCGGCGGAGCGAUUAAGAAAUAGAGAGAGAGAGAGAGAGUGAUUGUGAAAGAUAGAUUCUGCUUCCUUCUUCUUCUUCUCUCUCUUUCUGGUGGUUAGAGAGCGAGAAAGAAAACAGAUCGAAGGAAAAUUAAUUAAUACUAUUAAAGUAAAAAGGGUAACAUUUGCUGAAUAUGCACAUUAAAUACGUGUAAAUUAUAUUCAACUGUUAUCGUUUUUUUUUUUUUUUUGCUUGUACUAAAUAGCUUAAUUUUGGUGAAGAAACCAGCAAAUUUUCAUUUUAUUUUAAUAAAUAAAUGAUAUCUCAUUCAACUUUAAUGUUACUGAAUGAUACAUGGAGAUAAUAAAUAAUACUCCAAGUAAAAAUUUUUAGAUUUUUUUCUUGUUCCACAAAAAUAGAUUUUCUAUAUUGUUAAGGUAUUUUUUUAUACUUUUAAAAAAUAUUAAUUGAGAAUAUUUGAAUUGAUAAAAUUUCAUUGGUGGAAAGUUGUUGAAAAGUGUAUAAUAAAGUAAAAAAAUUAAAUUAUAAAUGUUUAUUAAAUUAUUAAUAAGCGUGCAUACUAUAAAAAUUUUAUCAAUUCAAAUAUUCUUUUGAUCUUACUUUCGGGAACAAAGAGAGAGUAUUCUUUUGAUGGUACUACGGAUGCUACAACUUUAGGAUGGUGCUGUUGAUCAUCUGGACUAAAAAGGAUGACAAAGAGGAAUCCCAAGCCCUUAAUCUUGAACUGUACAUAGAGUGAUAGAUUACUAACUUAGAUUAUAGAAUGUUUUAGUCAUUUAUUUUUAUAGUAUAUAUAUAGUUGAGUUGGUAUACAAUGUUUGCUAGCUGGGCCGGGAAAUGUCCAGUGUUUAUCAAUUGGCAUACAGUUGCAUAUGAGCUGAAAAGCUUUGGAAGUCCAGUUCCUCGGAUUCGAGUUGAUCAAAACAAAAAGUAUAUAUAUGAAGCUGGUUUUUAUUAUUCUUGAUGAAUAAUUUACACAUGUAGUCACGAUAAAUGCAUGGUUUCGUGUACAACUCUGUGAUGAUAGUACUCUACGUAACACUUGGAUCAACUGUAUACAAUUCUACAUGCAAUACGAUAAGAUUUUCAGUAAACUUUGCGUUUACAUACUUAACCCUUAUUACAACCUUCAAAAGAAUAUUGUGAAUAUUAAACUCUAAACCUAAUUAAUACUCAAACAUUUGUCCAAGGAAUUUUCACAAGAUAAAACAAGUUAUAUCAUAAAUAAUUUGUACUUGGCUAUACAAAAAUGAUACGUCUUUAAAAAAUGGGUAUUGUCCCACUAAACUCAAUGUGCCGUCACGGUUGAAUCCGCUUGACCACCAAAAUAGAUUUGUCGGUGUGAUUUUUAUAAAUCCCUUAUAUAUUAACCGAGAAACAAUACAACAUUGUUUUGUAGACACGUGUCACCAUAAAAAUGAAAUUCAGAAUUCUUAGAGAAAUAGGUUGGUCCAUCUUAUUUACAUUAUACUAACUAUUAAAUUGAUAAAUAGCAUACAGAAGAAUAUUAUCGCACUUUCCUUAAAAAAAGCUACAAAAUUUUCUAAUAUGAUUAACAUAUAUAAAAGAAUUAAUGAUUAUGAAUAAUAAAUAUUUGAUAAGAAUUUUAGUAUCUUAGCUCUUUUUUAUUUAAUUUGACAUUAUUAAAAGAUAUUAAGCAACCACAUUAACUAUAUAAUAAAAACAUGAUUUUUAUAUGUUAUAUUUUUAAUGGAUAAUUCUCCUAAACAGACCAUUUUCAAGUUUUGAUCACAAAAAUAGACCAUAAGGAAAAAAAUGACCAAAAUGUUUCAUUUAAUAGGUAAAAGAACCAUAAUACCCUAGAUAUAUAUAUAUAUAUAUAUAUAUAAAAUUAUAGUUUAGAUUAUAUUUUUUAAAUUCGAACUUUUUAUAAUAAUUUUUUUAUAAUUUUUUUCGAAAUUUUUUUUAAUAAAAUUUUAAAUCUCAAUCUCAAAUCUCCAUCUCUCAACUCUAAACCCUACGGUUUUGAUUAGUUAAUCCUAGGGGUAUAACUGUAGAUCUCUUUAAUGAAACAUUUUGGUUAUUUUGAUCCUUAGGAUCUGUAUUUGUGACAUAAACCUUUUUAGUGCUAUUCUAGGGUAUUUCCCAUUUAAUUUUUAAAACGACUAUAAAUUACUAAAAUAGUUAAAUGUCUCAUUACUAAAAUUUUGUCAUCAAUGGUUUAAUUUUUUUGGUGAUAAAAAAAUACAAAUGAUCAUAAAUUGUAUGAAUAUGACUAGACAUUCAUAUUAUAUUUUAAUAUUUUUUUAAAUUAAAUUAUAUAGCAUAGAAAAAUACUCAAGUAUGAUAAUUUCUAAAUUUGUAUUAAAAAAUAUUAAAAUCUUAUUAUUUUAAUUUUAAAAUUUGCAUUCAAAAAAUCGCACAUUAGAAAAUUUGUGUUUAUCGUAUGAAUAUGAUUCUAAAUAAUAAAUAUUUAUAUUAAAAUAUACUAUAUAUAUAUAUAUCCAUGUCAUUAAAAUUUAGUUAUAUACUAUAUAAAACAAAUAAAAUAAUUUUGAUUUAUUUACCAAAAAAAGUAUCAUAAAUUAGAUGUAUUGUUUCGAUUUAUAUGCUCACUCUGAUUUAAUUAUAUACAUAAUAAAUAAAUGAAUAUAAAUAAAUAAUAAUAUAUAAAAUUUAUUUUUAUAUAUAACAUAAUUGUGCGGGUCUUAAGUCAUAUGAUAAUCUAGAAUACUUAUACACUAAUCAGCAUCCCAACCAUUAUAUAAGAAGUUGUAAAAUAUGAAAUACAUAUUUAUAAAAUAUCUAAUUCAAAACCAAGAGCGCCCAUAGAAGUGAGAUAGAUUUUUAGCUUAAUCCCGCUUAGACUCACAUGGACUUUUCCAUUGUCGGAUUGAGCCAUCAACCAAACAUAUUUUAGCUGAAUUAAUUUAUUCUAUUUCUCGAGACUUAUUAAUUAAACAAUUAGAUAAAAGAAAUGUUAUUCCUCAAAUCUGUUUUCAAGUAGGUGAGUAGAUCGAAACCCAGAACAACUCUUUUUUUUUGCUUAAAACCCCAAGAACUACUUAUAGACCUAACUUUAACAACAACAAUACAAAAGAAAUGUACUAAGCACACAAUACAAAACGAAGCAUGAUGGUCUAACUAACUCCAGCGAAUAUAACUUAUGAGCGAGUGGUAAGGAAAAACACUUUCCUUGUAAAGAAGAAAGAAAAUUCACAUUAAUUAGGUUAGAAGAAUCAUUAAAAGAAAAUUCAAAACUUUUGAUCACAUGNNNNNNNNNNNNNNNNNNNNNNNNNNNNNNNNNNNNNNNNNNNNNNNNNNNNNNNNNNNNNNNNNNNNNNNNNNNNNNNNNNNNNNNNNNNNNNNNNNNNAGGGUGAGGAACCCUCGAGAUAGUGUUAGCACCGAGAUACGUGUUGAUCAAGUCUUGAUUGUUAGAUAUAGGGAUCCGUUGAGUAGAUGGUCGUUUGGCCAUGUCUAUUAUUAGUAUUAUUAGAUUAAGGUCGAGCAUACCUUAAUCGGUGCGGUUUUGGGGAUUAGCCUUAAAGCUAUUUUCUGCGCUUAGGCUAAUAUGAGAUUGGUUAUUUUGUGGUGUUAGCAGCUACUAGGUUUAGGUAUUUAGGUAGCCAGCUCACUGAGUGACCUUCUGUUACUCACCCACUCUCGUUGUCCUUUUUGCAGGAGUUUAGGUUUAGGAGAUUGGACGCUAGGCCACCGAAAUAGAUUUGCAGUGCAUUUGGCUACGGUUUUGAUUUUUAUACGAUUUAUGUUUCCGUUGCGUUUUAUCGGAUUUGGGAUCCCUAAAGUAUUGCAAAUAUUCUUAAAAGUCUUGGAUUUAAAUCUAAAAAAUUACGGGUCCAAUAUGAUAUUGGUUUAGUCCGAACCAACACAACGUUAGGUCUUGUACGGGUUGAAAAGCCUUAGGCCUCGAUCUAACGGAACCGUUAACUCAUGGUAACAGGUUGCAAAGCCUAAGCUUUGAUUUAGCGGGACUGUUUAGUGGAUGAACUAGUCUAGGUUGCGGAAUAAAUCUGUGACUCGGACCGGAUCGUCCCUAGCUCGUCACGUAACGCUUCCGGACCAUGGUGUUUGUGUUGGACGGUCAGUCAUGUUCUUUUGUUUGAUUGUUGGCUGGCCGGUUGGCCUUUCUCCCCAAUCCUUCUGUUGUUGGUCUGUCGGUCAUGUUCUUGUUUGAUUGUUGCCGGUGGGUCGACCUAUACCUAGGACGGUUCGGGGGUGUUACAGUCCUUGUCUUAGGACUUUCUCAAACUGUACCAUUCAAAUAACUGAAAACAGAAAAGUCUUUGGUCUUUAAGACUUGUAAGCCGUGGGUAAUAAAUCUUUGUCUUUGUUAGACAUGUGUAAGCCGUGGGUAAAAUCUUUGUAAGCCGUGGUAAGGAAUCUGUUUUCAGUUAUAGUCUUUUGUCUUAAGACUGAGCCGCAUGCUCUUAUUUGCCAUCCCCUAAAGCCCUUCUUAUACAUGCACCACCAACCCAUAUUCUCGGUCCAUUAGGAGAUGGCAUAAGUUUCUUUUAGAGGCAGCAAGGGACAAUGUUUUCAGUUAUAGUCCUUGUCUUAGGACUUUCUCAAACUGUACCGUUCAAAUAACUGAAAACAGAAAAGUCUUUGGUCUUUAAGACUUGUAAGCCGUGGGUAAUAAAUAUUUGUCUUUAUCUAAGACAUGUGUAAGCCGAGGGUAAUAAAUCUUUGUAAGCCGUGGGUAAGGAAUCUGUUUUUAGUUAUAGUCUUUUGUCUUAAACUGAGCCGCAUGCUCUUAUUUGCCAUCCCCUGACGCCCUUCUCUAUACAUGCACCACCAACCCAUAUUCUCGAUCCAUUAGGGGAUGGCAUAAGUUUCUUUUAGAGGCAGCAAGGGACAUUGUUUUCAGUUAUAGUCCUUGUCUUAGGACUUUCUCAAACUGUACUGUUCAAAUAACUGAAAACAGAAGAGUCUUUGGUCUUUAAGACUUGUAAGCCGUGGGUAAUAAAUUUUUGUCUUUGUCUAAGACAUGUGUAAGCCGAGGGUAAUAAAUCUUUGUAAGCCGUGGGUAAGGAAUCUGUUUCCAGUUAUAGUCUUUUGUCUUAAGACUGAGCCGCAUGCUCUUAUUUGCCAUCCCCUAACGCCCUUCUCUAUACAUUCACCACCAACCCAUAUUCUCGAUCCAUUAGGGGAUGGCUUAAGUUUCUUUUAGAGGCAGCAAGGGACAAUGUUUUCAGUUAUAGUCCUUGUCUUAGGACUUUCUCAAACUGUACCGUUCAUAUAACUGAAAACAGAAAAAUCUUUGGUCUUUAAGACUUGUAAGCCGUGGGUAAUAAAUCUUUGUCUUUGUCUAAGACAUGUGUAAGCCGAGGGUAAUAAAUCUUUGUAAGCCGUGGGUAAGAAAUCUGUUUUCAGUUAUAGUCUUUUGUCUUAAGACUGAGCCGCAUGCUCUUAUUUGCCAUCCCCUAACGUCCUUCUCUAUACAUGCACCGCCAACCCAUAUUCUCGAUCCAUUAGGGGAUGGCAUAAGUUUCUUUUAGAGGCAGCAAGGGACAUUGUUUUCAGUUAUAGUCCUUGUCUUAGGACUUUCUCAAACUGUACCGUUCAAAUAACUGAAAACAGAAAAGUCUUUGGUCUUUAAGACUUGUAAGCCGUGGGUAAUAAAUCAUUGUCUUUGUCAAAGACAUGUGUAAGCCGUGGGAAAAAAAUUUUGUAAGCCGGAGGUUAGGAAUCUGUUUUCAGUUAUAGUCUUUUGUCUUAAGACUGAGCCGCAUGCUCUUAUUUGCCAUCCCCUAAUGCCCUUCUUUCUACAUGCACCACCAACCCAUAUUCUCGAUCCAUUAGGGGAUAGCAUAAGUUUCUUUUAGAGGCAGCAAGGGACAUUGUUUUCAGUUAUAGUACUUGUCUUAGGACUUUUUCAAACUGUACCAUUCAAAUAACUGAAAACAGAAAAGUCUUUGGUCUUUAAGACUUUUAAGCCGUGGGUAAUAAAUCUUUGUCUUUGUCAAGACAUGUGUAAGCCGUGGGUAAUGUAAGCCGUGGGUAAGGAAUCUGUUUUCAGUUAUAGUCUUUUGUCUUAAGACUGAGCCGCAUGCUCUUAUUUGCCAUCCCCUAAAGCCCUUCUUUAUACAUGCACCACCAACCCAUAUUCUCGGUCCAUUUAACAAUCUUGCUAUAGGAGAUGGCAUAAGUUUCUUUUAGAGGCAGCAAGGGACAAUGUUCCCAAAUAAGAAUCUGACAGAACACUAUAAGAUUAGUGUCUGUCUAUGAUCUUUUUUGGGAUUUGAAAAACAAAAACAAAACCAAAACAAAACCAAAACAAUGUUCCCAAACAAGAAUCUGACAGAACACUAUUAGAUUAGUGUUUGUCUAUGAUCUUUUUUGGGUUUGAAAAACCACAAGAACGUCUAUAGCAAGAACAUUACAAGAACGUCUGUCUAAUCUCUUGGGUUUGAUAAAACCACAAGAAAACAAAAAGCUUUAAAAGUCCUGUUAAAAGAGGAAAAUCGUAGUCAAAUAAAAACAGUUCAAAACGGAAUCCUGAUUUCAAAAAUCUCAAAACAAAACCGGGAUAAAAGCGCUUGAAAAUAAACGGGAAAGUCUAAGGACAUACAGAGAAGAGAAAAGACAAUCAAAAAGCUGAGUUUGUGCCAAAGGUGUGCAGAGAGAAACAGGACGACAUAGAUGUUUUUGAUUUACCUCAGUUGAGCUAUUGGGAGAGAACCACCGUAAGAGCACUCCUAAAUGUACAACGGCCGGUAUCAACUUGAAUAGAAAUGGUGUCGUUACCUGCAACACAUUCACUUUAAUGUACAUGUCAAAAUAUUCGUUCUAUAACUGAAAUGGUGUGGAUGUGAACCAUACCAGGCUUAGAGCAGUUGUUCCCAGAAGCAGGAGGUACAGUUGAAUAAACACAAAACCCUUCACUGUUAUCACUCCACCAAAAGCAAAAUUAUGAGCAACCUAUUAUGGUACCACACAGUCGGGAAGAUAUAACCGUAGUUGCACAACACAGUUUCAUUUGAUUGCUUACCUCAAUAAGGUGAAGAUUAGAUGCUCGACUUAGCAGAACAAAAGCAAAUUCCCCAAUCUGCGCAAGCGACAUUCCAACCUAUAGAGAAGAAAACUGUAAGGGCUCUCACUACGAGUAAGGUUUGGAGCAAUGUGAAAGCAAAAAGGAAGGGUUCACUUCUUACAAGUACUGCAGUUUUGUUAUUGUAUCCAAAGACCUUAACAACGAUUGCAACGACCACGGUCUUUAUCACUAUCACCAGUAACACAGCUGCUACCAGAAUAUCAACAUGGUUCCACAAGAAGUGCAUAUGUAUCAACAUUCCAAUACUAGCAAGGAACAACGCUGCAAAAAAAUUGCGGAUUGGUUCUACCUGAAAGGGAAGCACAGGAAUGAUAAGAAGAGCUCUAUGUGGCAAAAAAGAGAAAUGCAUUUCAUAAAGUCACCAACAGAUAUAUAGCACAAAAGACACUUGUGGCAUAAGAAUGUUCAAAUAAAAUGCGAAAAGAUCCACAAGUCCGAAAGAGUCAAAAUUGACUUCUUACUUGUUCAAGAGUAUGCUGGGCGAGAUCCGUUGAUGAGAUCAUCACUCCUGCCGCAAAGGAACCCAGCUCAAGACUUAGACCGAGCUUGUCACUACACUGAAGAAACCAAAACAAUACUGAGUUUAUGAACUGAAAAUUUGAGAUAGCACAUGUGCAAACGGCCAAUAGAUAAGAAGAACAAAUGGAUCAGACUGACCCAAGCAACAAGCAAACAAAAUGCUACAGCGGCCAACUGGUAGAGCUCGUUAGUCUGUCAAAGAUUGACGAACGCUUAAGUUGAUAAACAUUUUAAAGACCAAAAACGGAAGCAAGUAAAAAUAUGUGUAUACCUGAGAAGAAAGGCUUGUCAUAAGUUUUAGAAACCAAGGUACCCAGGUACGUGACAGUACAAACAAAGCAGCCAAAAACGCAAUCAAAAUAGCCAACCUUGAAAGAAAUUACCGCACGGUCAAAAGAAAUGAAAUAUCAAAAACUUGGUUUCACUGAACAACAGUAUAACAAGUGAAAAAGGAAGCAGGAUAUUGUCGACAUUUUCACAGAACUUCCAGUAAAAUAGAAAACAUACGAUUUAGCCAUGGACAACAUUCCUUGAACGACACCAGAUGUGCCACCAAGAACCGGAAGGAGAGCAAAAAGCAAACCCACAGCACAAUCCUAGAGAUUCAUGAAGCCAUAUAUUAAAAAUCUAAUGAAAGCAACUGUAGGAUACAACAUACUAAUAGCUGAAAUCCAGUAGCAUACAAAAGAGUAAGCGGAAACAGUAGCCUGUACAAAUCAUAUUACUAUGCUAUUGUUUGGAGAGUGACUGAGAUACCUGAAGGAUAAGUGUUCCAACGGUUAUCUGGCCAUGUAGAGCACUUAUGCUCUUUUUUCCAUUAAAAAUUUCAACACCUGAUAUAAGAAUCAUGGCAAGGUAAAAAUAACAUAUGAGGAUCACCCCUAAAGAGAAACUUAGGGAAACAUAACUGGUACAACAAAAGAAAGGAUUUAAUACAGUGAGAGCACACAGAGUAAAUUAUAACAGUUUAGAAUUACAAAAGUGAUAUUAGAAUAUACCACCGCUGUUGACGACAUCGAAAGAAAAGCACCUACGAAUAUUCCUUCUGUUAGUUUACCACCGCAUAACUGCAAUGCAAUGAAGAAGCAGCCAAGUCAACCCAAUGCAUUCCUUUUCAUGAUUUAUACACAAUAAGCCUAAUAACUCAUUCUUACUCAAUUGCUAUUACUAUUUACAAACUAGAACAUACCGAGGCUGUUAUCCCACUCAAGCACAUGAACAAAAAUAUUUGAAGAAGACCUCCUGGAAUAGCUACUGCACGAACUACACGAAGCUGCGACCACAAAGUACAAUAAAUCAAUGACUAUCUCAAAAGUUUCAAAAGAACAAAGAAACCAGAAAAGUGUAAGAGGGUGGAAACAUGCAAACCUUUGCUGCAGAAAAUUCUAAUCCUAAAGCAAAAAGAAGAAAGAUUACACCAAACUGAGCUACUGUUUCAACCUGUGCUACACAAAAGAAUAUAUAUAUCAAGUCUUGUCGACCAUUAACAUAGCCAGUCAAUCUCUUAAUCAUGAAAACUUCCGUCGAAAUGCAAUAUGAAGACAAAAAGGAGGAACUUUGAAGAGCUAAAGCUGAUGUAAGCUACCUGCACCAUUUCACUAACAAAGCUUAACCCACCCGGUCCAAUGAUAGAUCCAGCCAACAGAUACCCAGUAAUGACCUGCCAAGUAAGUAGUACAGAAAUUAAAUAUGGCCGUCACUGUUCGAUGAUUCAAAGGCCAACAAAAUCAAUUCUAAGCUCUUGGAAAGGUGAAUACUCAAAUGGUAACGGAAUAAUGUUGAAAGUUACAAGCUCUGCAAAGGAAGCGUGUACUCACCGGUUGACCAGCACAAGCAAAUGCAAUUCCACCACAAGUAGCAGAAACAAUGACGACGACCAAAUCUGAUAUCAGCCUACAAAUAUAUCCAGUUAAGAGAGGCGUCCCCAACAAAAAACGGUUAGGUAGAUUCUUACAAAUGAUAAAUGAUCAAAGACCUUUCCUUACGAAUGCUAUAUUUACCUUAAAUCUAGCUGCAGUACAGGGUACUUGGACUUUGGAUUGGACAUGAUAAAAACGUUGUCCUGGAUUGGAAUUGAAAAUUCACAAUUCAGGAAUGUUGUCACAAACGGGUAGAUAACAGGUGUACAUUCUCUCUUAACCAAUAUAUAGUACAAUUCUUCAAAGACUAUGAAAGCUUACCUUCCUAUCUAUCAGUCUUGGAGUAUCUUCUACGCCAUUCUCGUUAUCCAAAUUAAAGAAUGAUCUAGCAUAAAAGGCACUGAUUAUAUUACCGCCUCUGAAACAAAGCUAGAUAGCAGCCACAACUUUCACAAAUCGAGUCCAAAAAGGGUAAAGCAAGCAUGAUUAUAAAGAGACUCACUUCUCCUCCUUGGUCUUGGUCUCAUUUUUCUUGGGCUUCACUCGAGCAACAGUUUCCAGAACAGCCUAAAGAGCAGAACAAAUGGUUUAAUAAAAAGAAGGAAAAAAAAAACAAGAAAGACUGAGUAGUGUACCGUCUAAAAGCAAUAAGGCCACAAAUGAAGUGGCGAAAACAAAGAUUACAAUUAACCAACCUGCUGAUCAGCAACGCUAUUAUUAAAGCUUCCUGGAUCAGGAACUGCAAAAGCAAAACAAGACAAAAGCAAUUCACAAACCACUUAUUCAAAGAGUUCAAAUAACAUCUUGUAUAUCCUCUAGGACGAGACCAGACCAAGUGAUAUAAUCCAAGAGUUUUAAGCACUAUGCCAUUGGUCAAUAACUUUUAUCAUCUCAAUAUGCAAUUCAUUAAAUUCUAUAAGCCAUGAGUAAUCUAAAAACUCCAAUGCAGAUGUGAGCAUUAGCUAAAAUCAAUGAUAAAUCCCUAAGGAGUAGAAUCAAUUUUCACCAAAUCUAAAACUGAAAACAAAACCCUAGUGUAGCAAACGAACCAUCGUUCUGGUCAUUCUCCGGAAACUCCUUCUCAAGUGCCCUAUCGAUCAUAUCGGCGAAACUGUCCUCCUUAGGUUUCGCGUUCGUCGCAUUGGACUCGGCGGCGUUUCCGUUGAUCUCGCGUGUGGCAACUGACUCAGUCCCGAUAUCGGACUCGGCGGAGAAGGCAAGAUGGAAACUACAGAUCAGGAGAAACGCCAGAAACCUCAUCGUUUCCACGGAGAUGAAUUCGCCGAUUUUACACCGCCGCAUCUCAGUGACGGUGGUGGCGCGGCGGAGCGAUUAAGAAAUAGAGAGAGAGAGAGAGAGUGAUUGUGAAAGAUAGAUUCUGCUUCCUUCUUCUUCUUCUCUCUCUUUCUGGUGGUUAGAGAGCGAGAAAGAAAACAGAUCGAAGGAAAAUUAAUUAAUACUAUUAAAGUAAAAAGGGUAACAUUUGCUGAAUAUGCACAUUAAAUACGUGUAAAUUAUAUUCAACUGUUAUCGUUUUUUUUUUUUUUUGCUUGUACUAAAUAGCUUAAUUUUGGUGAAGAAACCAGCAAAUUUUCAUUUUAUUUUAAUAAAUAAAUGAUAUCUCAUUCAACUUUAAUGUUACUGAAUGAUACAUGGAGAUAAUAAAUAAUACUCCAAGUAAAAAUUUUUUAGAUUUUUUUCUUGUUCCACAAAAAUAGAUUUUCUAUAUUGUUAAGGUAUUUUUUUAUACUUUUAAAAAAUAUUAAUUGAGAAUAUUUGAAUUGAUAAAAUUUCAUUGGUGGAAAGUUGUUGAAAAGUGUAUAAUAAAGUAAAAAAAUUAAAUUAUAAAUGUUUAUUAAAUUAUUAAUAAGCGUGCAUACUAUAAAAAUUUUAUCAAUUCAAAUAUUCUUUUGAUCUUACUUUCGGGAACAAAGAGAGUAUUCUUUUGAUGGUACUACGGAUGCUACAACUUUAGGAUGGUGCUGUUGAUCAUCUGGACUAAAAAGGAUGACAAAGAGGAAUCCCAAGCCCUUAAUCUUGAACUGUACAUAGAGUGAUAGAUUACUAACUUAGAUUAUAGAAUGUUUUAGUCAUUUAUUUUGUUAUAGUAUAUAUAUAGUUGAGUUGGUAUACAAUGUUUGCUAGCUGGGCCGGGAAAUGUCCAGUGUUUAUCAAUUGGCAUACAGUUGCAUAUGAGCUGAAAAGCUUUGGAAGUCCAGUUCCUCGGAUUCGAGUUGAUCAAAACAAAAAGUAUAUAUAUGAAGCUGGUUUUUAUUAUUCUUGAUGAAUAAUUUACACAUGUAGUCACGAUAAAUGCAUGGUUUCGUGUACAACUCUGUGAUGAUAGUACUCUACGUAACACUUGGAUCAACUGUAUACAAUUCUACAUGCAAUACGAUAAGAUUUUCAGUAAACUUUGCGUUUACAUACUUAACCCUUAUUACAACCUUCAAAAGAAUAUUGUGAAUAUUAAACUCUAAACCUAAUUAAUACUCAAACAUUUGUCCAAGGAAUUUUCACAAGAUAAAACAAGUUAUAUCAUAAAUAAUUUGUACUUGGCUAUACAAAAAUGAUACGUCUUUAAAAAAUGGGUAUUGUCCCACUAAACUCAAUGUGCCGUCACGGUUGAAUCCGCUUGACCACCAAAAUAGAUUUGUCGGUGUGAUUUUUAUAAAUCCCUUAUAUAUUAACCGAGAAACAAUACAACAUUGUUUUGUAGACACGUGUCACCAUAAAAAUGAAAUUCAGAAUUCUUAGAGAAAUAGGUUGGUCCAUCUUAUUUACAUUAUACUAACUAUUAAAUUGAUAAAUAGCAUACAGAAGAAUAUUAUCGCACUUUCCUUAAAAAAAGCUACAAAAUUUUCUAAUAUGAUUAACAUAUAUAAAAGAAUUAAUGAUUAUGAAUAAUAAAUAUUUGAUAAGAAUUUUAGUAUCUUAGCUCUUUUUUAUUUAAUUUGACAUUAUUAAAAGAUAUUAAGCAACCACAUUAACUAUAUAAUAAAAACAUGAUUUUUUUAUAUGUUAUAUUUUUAAUGGAUAAUUCUCCUAAACAGACCAUUUUCAAGUUUUGAUCACAAAAAUAGACCAUAAGGAAAAAAAUGACCAAAAUGUUUCAUUUAAUAGGUAAAAGAACCAUAAUACCCUAGAUAUAUAUAUAUAUAUAUAUAUAUAUAAAAUUAUAGUUUUAGAUUAUAUUUUUUUAAAUUCGAACUUUUUUAUAAUAAUUUUUUUAUAAUUUUUUUCGAAAUUUUUUUUAAUAAAAUUUUAAAUCUCAAUCUCAAAUCUCCAUCUCUCAACUCUAAACCCUACGGUUUUGAUUAGUUAAUCCUAGGGGUAUAACUGUAGAUCUCUUUAAUGAAACAUUUUGGUUAUUUUGAUCCUUAGGAUCUGUAUUUGUGACAUAAACCUUUUUAGUGCUAUUCUAGGGUAUUUCCCAUUUUAAUUUUUAAAACGACUAUAAAUUACUAAAAUAGUUAAAUGUCUCAUUACUAAAAUUUUGUCAUCAAUGGUUUAAUUUUUUUGGUGAUAAAAAAAUACAAAUGAUCAUAAAUUGUAUGAAUAUGACUAGACAUUCAUAUUAUAUUUUAAUAUUUUUUUAAAUUAAAUUAUAUAGCAUAGAAAAAUACUCAAGUAUGAUAAUUUCUAAAUUUGUAUUAAAAAAUAUUAAAAUCUUAUUAUUUUAAUUUUAAAAUUUGCAUUCAAAAAAUCGCACAUUAGAAAUUUUGUGUUUAUCGUAUGAAUAUGAUUCUAAAUAAUAAAUAUUUAUAUUAAAAUAUACUAUAUAUAUAUAUAUCCAUGUCAUUAAAAUUUAGUUAUAUACUAUAUAAAACAAAUAAAAUAAUGUUUUGAUUUAUUUACCAAAAAAAGUAUCAUAAAUUAGAUGUAUUGUUUCGAUUUAUAUGCUCACUCUGAUUUAAUUAUAUACAUAAUAAAUAAAUGAAUAUAAAUAAAUAAUAAUAUAUAAAAUUUAUUUUUAUAUAUAACAUAAUUGUGCGGGUCUUAAGUCAUAUGAUAAUCUAGAAUACUUAUACACUAAUCAGCAUCCCAACCAUUAUAUAAGAAGUUGUAAAAUAUGAAAUACAUAUUUAUAAAAUAUCUAAUUCAAAACCAAGAGCGCCCAUAGAAGUGAGAUAGAUUUUUAGCUUAAUCCCGCUUAGACUCACAUGGACUUUUCCAUUGUCGGAUUGAGCCAUCAACCAAACAUAUUUUAGCUGAAUUAAUUUAUUCUAUUUCUCGAGACUUAUUAAUUAAACAAUUAGAUAAAAGAAAUGUUAUUCCUCAAAUCUGUUUUCAAGUAGGUGAGUAGAUCGAAACCCAGAACAACCUCUUUUUUUUUGCUUAAAACCCCAAGAACUACUUAUAGACCUAACUUUAACAACAACAAUACAAAAGAAAUGUACUAAGCACACAAUACAAAACGAAGCAUGAUGGUCUAACUAACUCCAGCGAAUAUAACUUAUGAGCGAGUGGUAAGGAAAAACACUUUCCUUGUAAAGAAGAAAGAAAAUUCACAUUAAUUAGGUUAGAAGAAAUCAUAAAAGAAAAUUCAAAACUUUUGAUCACAUGGUUGUGUGGACUAAACUUGGACUUUUCUUUAAUCAUAUAGUUCAUUUUUCAUUUUCAAGGAAGAUCGAUCCUUUUACUUAUGUUCUUUUUAUUUAAUUGUAAUGACACUCCCAGAGUUAAAAACCAGUAUUGAAAGAAGCAAAUGGUUUUGCCUCUCCAAGUAGGCAACUAUGCCUCCCAAAGAAAAAGAGACAUCAUGCUCACUCCAUGCCUAUAAAUACUCCUCAAAUCAAUAACUUAUCCAUUCAAAUUGUGUCUGAGAACAAAAAGGCAAAAAAAAGAAAAAAAGAAGAAGAUGGGUUUAAUCAAAGAGAAAGAGAUGGAGAUUCCAGUCAUUGAUUUUAGUGAACUGGAUGGAGAAAACAGAACCAAGACUAUGUCUCUUCUUGAUCAUGCAUGUGAUAAGUGGGGCUUCUUCAUGGUAUGUACAAAUCUUUAUCCACAAAUCAAGUUCUUAAGUAUGCAUAUGUAAACGUUCCUAGAUCCAGUUCUAGUGUAGACCCUUAUUAAAUGCGGGCUGAUGAAUUUUCAGGUUGAUAAUCAUGGAAUUGAUAAAGAAUUGAUGGAUAAAGUAAAACAGCUGAUUAACUCUCAUUAUGAGGAGCAUUUGAAAGAGAAGUUUUACCAGUCAGAGAUGGUCAAGGCUUUGAGUGAAGGCAAAACGUCAGAUGCUGAUUGGGAAAGCACUUUCUUCGUUUGGCAUAAGCCGACUUCAAACAUAUCCAAAGUCUCCAACAUUUCAGAUGAACUCAUGUAAGUAACUAAAAAAAUUAUAUGUCCAAAUUUUUACCAAUUUCUUUAUUUGGACAAAGUUUUUACCAUUUAUAUGUCUUGCCUAUUAUAAUUAAUAUUAGGAAAGUGUAUCUUAGAUAAGGUUUAUCUUACUAAACCGUCUUACUCUUAUGUAAUGUUUCCUAUUUUCUCUAGGGUUACGUCUUGAAGUCGGCUCAUGCCUUUGUAUAUAUACUCACGUUAUGUGUCAAUACAACACACAAGUUUACAGUUUACAGUAUCUUCUCGAGUUUACAUGGUAUCAGAGCAUAAAGUUCUGUGACCCGAGUAGUUUUUUUUCCGUCGUUCAUAGUCUUUGUUCUUGGUAAGAACAACAGUCUGAAGUCAUGGCCGACGGUGACAUGUCUUCCGCUACCAAAAGUUCGUCUGCUCAAGUUGAGCAAGGUCAAGGUGGUACCGUCAACGUACCGACUCCGUAUUCUCUGUUUGCAUCCGACAACCCAGGAGCGGUGAUAACAUCUGUGAUGUUUACGGGUGACAACUACAAUGAGUGGUCCACGGAGCUAGUUAAUGCACUUAGAGCAAAACGAAAGUUAGGGUUUAUCGAUGGAACAAUAUCAAAACCUGCCAUUGAUGAUCCCAAAUUCGAGCUCUGGUCGUCUGUCAAUUCCUUGAUCGUUGGCUGGAUUCGGUCGUCCAUUGAAGCCAGGGUACGAUCAACAGUCACGUUUAUCUCUGACUCUCACAAGUUGUGGGAGAACUUGAAAAAGCGUUUCUCUGUGGGAAACAAAGUUCGUAUCCACCAUCUUAAAGAACAGUUGGCGUCUUGCAAACAAGAUGGACAGUCAGUAAUGGAUUACUUUGGUCGUCUGGCUAAGAUGUGGGAAGAGCUGGACGCAUACAAACCUCUUCCACCUUGUACUUGCAGUGCAGCAGCUGUCUACGAGAAAGAAAGAGAAGAAGAGAAGGUCCAUCAGUUUCUUAUGGGUUUAGACGAGUCGCGGUUUGGUGUUGUGUGUCAAGGAAUUAUUGCAACAGACUCUUCUAUUGAUUUAGGAGAUGCGUAUUCUAGAGUCGUUCGUGAGGAGCAGCGUCUUGUCUCUUCAAAAGAACGUGAAGUUCAGCAGAGUGCAGUCGGUUUUGUGGCUAAGAAAGAAGCAUCCGACACACAAAAUUCUGGUCAAACAAGAAAAGUAGUUCAUUGUUCUCAUUGUGGACGUCGUGGUCACGAGAAGGCAAAUUGUUGGCAGCUAGUAGGUUUCCCCGACUGGUGGGAAGAGACACCACCAAACCGAGGUGAUAACAGAGGAGGAAGAGGCGGUCGUGGUCGUGGAAGUUACAGCUCAGACCGCACCAAGACUAAUGGCACAAAAGUCCACAAUGCUCAUGCUACUUCUUCGAACUCGUCAUUGUUUCCAGUGUUCACCGAGGAACAGUUGAAAGCGCUCACUCAGAUGAUUAAUGAGAAAAACAGAUCGACUGAGAGGCUGACUGGUAAGCUUUAUGGUGAUCUCAUUCUAGACACAGGUGCCUCUCAUCACAUGACAGGAGAGCUUUCGUUUCUAGAAAACAUCACGAGUAUUCCAUCCUGCCCAGUUGGGUUUGCAGACGGGAAUAAAACUUAUGCGACCCACACCGGCGUCUUUCGCUUGUCCAAUAGCAUUACGUUACAUAAUGUGUUAUUUGUGCCAAAUUUAAACUGCUCCCUUAUCUCAGUGUCAAAGCUACUGCGACAGACGAAUUGCUUUGCUCUUCUAACCGACACUAUUUGUGUUUUACAGGAUCGUUUCACGAGGAUGCUGAUUGGAGCAGGUGAAGAGAGAGAUGGGGUUUACUAUUUUAAAGAUGUUAUGGCUGCACGUGUUGAAGUUUCUGACAAGUCUACUCGCUCAGUUGAUCAGUUUCGUUGGCACCAAAGGCUUGGACAUCCUUCGUUUUCAGUGUUAUCUUAUUUACCGUUUGUGUUAGACUCUAAAGCUUCCAGUCCUUGUGACACUUGUUUUGAAGCUAAGCAAACUAGAGAAGUUUUUUAUGAAAGUUUAAAUAAAACAACAAAAUGUUUUGAGCUUAUUCAUUGCGAUGUCUGGGGUCCUUACAAAGUUCGAUCUUCAUCUGGUGCUGUCUAUUUUCUCACAGUGGUUGAUGACUUCUCACGAGCAGUUUGGACUUAUUUGCUCCUUGAAAAGUCAGAAGUUCAAACCGUCCUUAAGAAUUUUUGCAAGAUGACUGAGAAACAAUUUUCCAAAGAAGUUAAGGUUGUUCGCAGUGAUAACGGAACCGAGUUUAUGUGUAUGUCUCGUUUCUUUCGUGAGAAUGGGAUCAUACAUCAAACUUCUUGUGUGGCUACUCCUCAACAGAAUGGACGAGUAGAAAGAAAGCAUCGCCACAUUCUGAAUAUUGCACGUGCUUUGCUGUUUCAGAGUAACUUGCCGAUCAAGUUUUGGGGGGAGGCGAUUUUGACUGCAGCAUACCUGAUUAAUCGAACGCCUUCAGCUGUGCUUGGUCAUCGCUCACCGUACGAGCUUCUGUAUAAUGAGAAACCAAGUUACUCACAACUCCGUGUCUUCGGGAGUCUCUGUUUUGUUCAUCAUCGAUCGCGUGAUAAAGAUAAGUUUGGGAAACGAAGUCGGCGGUGUGUUUUUGUUGGCUAUCCUUAUGCACAAAAAGGAUGGAAGGUGUUUGAUCUUGAUAAACACGAGUUCUUCAUCUCCCGUGACGUUGUGUUCCAGGAAUCAGAGUUUCCUUACUCAGCACCAACACUCGUUUCUAUUAACAAAGAACCCGUCGUUUCAAAUACAGAACCAGACGGGGAUUGGGAAAACACUAAUCUACCUACCUUAGAAGACAGGGGGAGCUCGUCAGGCUCAGCAACUCCUCCUGUGGCCACAGUUGCAGAGCAAACAACGCCAUCGUCCUCUCCUACGACUGAUGUUGGGGCUGUCGAUAUAGACCAACCUCCGCUGAAUGUUGUUGCUCCUGCAUCUCCUGCUGCUCAAACACCAGUUGUGCAACCGGUAGAAGAAGUCUUCGGUCGAGGACAACGACCUCGUGUUCCGUCUGUUAAACUCAAGGAUUACGUUAUGUACAAUGCCAUACAUCUUGAAAACCCAUCUCUCACAUCCGCCUGUUCUUCAUCGCAUCCUCAUGAGACCGUCCAAGGUAACUCACUAUAUCCUUUAACUGAUUACAUUACUGACGAGAAUUUUUCAGUAGCACAUCGAGCGUUUCUUGCUGCUGUUACUGCUGGAGUAGAACCAAGAUCAUACUCUCAGGCAGUCAAGGAUAAGAUUUGGCGUGGUGCAAUGAAACAAGAAGUAAUUGCUCAUGAAGAAAGUGGCACUUGGGAUAUCGUCUCUCUUCCGAAAGGCAAGAAAGCAAUUGGUUGUCAAUGGAUUUAUAAAUUAAAGUUUAAUGCCGAUGGCACAGUUGAACGUCCUAAGGCGCGUCUGGUUGCUUGCGGAAAUAAUCAAGUACAAGGUGAUGAUUUCUCCGAAACAUUCGCUCCAGUUGUUAAGAUGGGCACCAUCCGCAGUCUACUUGCUCUUGUUGCAGCAAAAGGAUGGGAGGUCCAUCAGAUGGACGUCCAUAAUGCGUUUCUGCAUGGUGAUUUAAAUGAAGAAGUUUACAUGCGGUUACCACCUGGUUUCACUCACUCUGACCCAACUAAAGUCUGUUUGCUUCGCAAGUCCUUAUAUGGACUCCGGCAAGCUCCACGUUGUUGGUUUGAAAAGCUCACAAACUCACUGUUAGAGUACGGGUUCCUUCAGUCAUAUUCAGAUGCUUCUCUGUUCACAUACACAAAAGACUCUAAGGAGAUUCGUGUACUCAUUUAUGUUGAUGAUCUGGUUCUUGCGAGUAAUGAUCUUGAGCUUCUCGUCAAGUUCAAAACUUACUUAGGUGAGUGUUUUAAAAUGAAAGACUUGGGAAAGCUCAAAUACUUUCUUGGCAUUGAAGUGGCAAGGUCCAAAGAAGGUAUCUUUCUCUCUCAACGAAAAUAUUCUUUAGACAUUAUUGAAGACACGGGUCUUCUAGGCUGUAAACCAGUCACUAUUCCCAUGGAACAGUAUCAUCAACUAACAGCAGAGGACACUCCACUUCUUGCUGAUCCUAAGAAGUAUCGCCGCUUGGUUGGUCGGCUAGUUUAUUUGAUGAUCACACGACCAGAGUUAUGUUACACAAUUCAUCUUUUGUCUCAGUUUAUGCAACAACCACGUGAAGCUCAUUGGAAUGCGGCUCUGCGUGUUGUUCGCUUUCUCAAAGGUUGUCCAGGACAGGGUAUUCUUCUGCGUGCUGACAAUAACCUUCAACUCUCAGUUUAUGUCGAUGCUGAUUGGAGUUCGUGUCCGGAUAGUCGUCGUUCGUUGAGUGCGUAUGUGGUCUUUCUUGGUGAUUCACCUAUUGAUUGGAAGACUAAGAAGCAGGACACAGUGUCUAUGUCAUCUGCCGAGGCUGAAUACAGGGCCAUGGCCGCAGCUGUUAAAGAAGUAAAAUGGAUUGUUCCUUUGGUGGAGGAGCUUGGAGUCAAGGUUGUUCAACCUGUUCGUUUUUAUUGUGAUAGUAAAGCAGCCAUUCAUAUCGCUGCUAACCCGGUUUUUCACGAACGUACGAAGCAUCUUGAACGCGAUUGUCACAGUGUACGCGAUGCGGUUAAAGCAGGUCUCAUCUCAACCAUUCAUGUCAAGUCGAAGGAUCAAAUUGCAGACCUCUUAACCAAAGCUUUGGGACGUCCUCAGUUUGAAGCAUUAUCGUCCAAGUUGGGUGUUCAAGACCUUCACUCUCCAACUUGAGGGGGAGUAUUAGGAAAGUGUAUCUUAGAUAAGGUUUAUCUUACUAAACCGUCUUACUCUUAUGUAAUGUUUCCUAUUUUCUCUAGGGUUACGUCUUGAAGUCGGCUCAUGCCUUUGUAUAUAUACUCACGUUAUGUGUCAAUACAACACACAAGUUUACAGUUUACAGUAUCUUCUCGAGUUUACAAUUAACAAUGUGUGGGGAUGAAACUUAUAUUGCAGCAAGACAAUGGAUGAAUAUGUUUCUCAACUGCACAAGUUUGCAGAAAGGCUCUCUAAACUCAUGUGUGAAAAUCUUGGUCUCCCUCGAGAACACAUAGUGAAUGCGUUCUCCGGUAUAGAAGGUCCAGUUUUUGGGACAAAAGUGGCUAAAUACCCAGAAUGCCCUCAUCCGGAGCUCAUUAGAGGGCUGAGAGAACAUACUGAUGCUGGAGGGAUCAUAUUGCUCUUGCAGGAUGAUUGUAAAUUAUAAUAGAAUAGAUAUAUUAUUGUGUUGUGUUUAAUAAGAGAAUACAAUAUGCAUAUAUAUAGUAGUAACAUUAGCAUAAUGUUAACACUAGAUAAUGCUAACUUUCCUAAACAUUUAAUGUAAAUAUGCUAGAAUAUCUUGAGAGUAACUUGUUCUUCAAGUCUUUUCCUUUUAGUUUUGAUGAUCUUCAAGGGUUUCACGGGCUUCACAAUCUUGGUCCGUAAGAUACACAUCUUACAGCCCACAUAUCUCUAAUACUCCCCCGCACGACAAACGUGGGAUGCAACACGCAAAUCUGCAAUCGCAAAGCAGACCACGUAUGUCGUGGACACUAUGUCGAGAAAAACAAAUCAGUAGGUUCCUCCGAGAAUAAACUUCAACUUUAGACAAGGAGGGGUGAAAACUUCAGCUCUUCUUUGGUCUUGACAAUGAGAAUACAUCCCGUGGGCGCAACUGCAGCUCCACAAACAAUCGUCCUUAACUUGGACAGUCCAUACACCGGACUAAAAAAAAACUGACCUAAAAAUUUAAUCGUUCAACUAGAACUCCCCCGUAAUGGUUAAACUAUAACCAAAGUAUUCCAAACUAUGGAAUAUAAAAAAAGACAUAUCUUGAGAAAUUCUAAACCAUAGAAUAAUCUCUACAUAAAAUAACCCAUGUGAAAACUACAAACCCAUAAACCCACUAACUUUUGCACUCAGCCGACCAAACUAAAACAAAUGUUAGAAAGAAAAGAAAAAAAAAUCCCUUUGACAUAGGUAAACGUACUAAACAAAACCCUAAUAGUUAUUAUUCUUAACUAAAACACCAAACUCCAACGACCACAUUCACGUUACCAUGUCGUUUUCAUCGUCGCCAUCCUCACCAUCUUCUUCAACAUCGCCAACACCAACGAUGAUGAUCAUCAAAGCUUUAAACUUAUAAUGCGGAAGCUUUAAUUUUGAUCCCUAAGAAUCGAAUGCUCUGAUACCAUGUAUGUAAAUAUAUAGUAGUAAGAGAAUAUUCUAUUAUACUUUAUAUGCUCUGAUACCAUGUAUGUAAACUUAUAAACCUGGCUCUGAUACCAUGUUAGAUUUGAGUUUAUUAUGGGCUUCCAACUCAAAACCAAUUGGCAAUUAGUGGAUUGGCCCUAACCCUUUAUAUAUUACUUAAUGUCCCAUUGAUUUUCCAAUGUGGGAUACAUAUCCCUUAAUACCCCUCCUCGAGAUGAUGGCUCUUAUCGGCCAGAAAUCUCGGAACUUUAAGACAGUUAUACUCGGUCGAGCGAGUCAAUUACGACCUAUAUACCCGGUCGGGUAGGGUUAAUAUUAAUUAGGGGUUUAACUUAUUAGAACCUGGCUCUGAUACCAUGUAAAUUAUAAUAGAAUAGAUAUAUUAUUGUGUUGUGUUUAAUAAGAGAAUACAAUAUGCAUAUAUAUAGUAGUAACAUUAGCAUAAUGUUAACACUAGAUAAUGCUAACUUUCCUAAACAUUUAAUGUAAAUAUGCUAGAAUAUCUUGAGAGUAACUUGUUCUUCAAGUCUUUUCCUUUUAGUUUUGAUGAUCUUCAAGGGUUUCACGGGCUUCACAAUCUUGGUCCGUAAGAUACACAUCUUACAGCCCACAUAUCUCUAAUAAUGAUCAAGUGCCUGGUCUUGAGUUCUUAAAAGAUGGGAAGUGGGUUCCUAUCCCACCAUCGAAGAACAAUACCAUUUUUGUCAAUACCGGUGAUCAAGUCGAGAUAUUGAGUAAUGGGAGGUACAAGAGUGUUGUACACCGUGUGAUGACGAUGAAGCAAGGAAGUCUGUCGAUAGCUACAUUUUACAAUCCAGCUGGGGAUGCCAUAAUAUCUCCAGCUCAAGAGAUGUUGUACCCAAGUGGUUACCGAUUCCAAGACUACCUUAAGCUUUAUUCAACCACUAAGUUUGGAGACAAAGGCUCUAGAUUUAAUACCAUGAAGAAAAUGGAGAAUGGGGAUUCCGUCUAGGAUGCAUCGCCUGAACGUAACGCUGCUUUUGUAUUUCACAUGAAACUCUAUUUCUAUUAAA
rnacentral:lncRNA from 1 species